rnacentral:lncRNA from 1 species
UCUGUUUUCCGUGACGACAAUCUCGACACCUACUGGCAGUCUUUGCUCCAAUUCCCCUUUCCUACUUUAAUCCCUCAAAAUAUUGAAAUCUUUGAAUUUUAAUUUUGUUUGUUUGUUCUUGGUUUGCAGAUCCGACGGUGUGCAGCCUCAUUUGGUGAACAUUCAAUUCCAGAGGAAAGGCUUCAAGGUAUGGUGGUUGCAGGUAGGGGAGUCGGGGGAAGAAGAGAUGGGAGGAGGAGGGGGACGACGAACUGAUGGGUAUUUUUUUUUUUCUGGGUUGCAGAGGGGGUUUUUUUUUUUUUUUUUCUGGGUUGCAAAGGGUUUUUUUUUUUUUUUUUUUCUGGGUUGCAGGGGGAAGAAGAUGAAGAUGGGGGAGGAGGAGAAGAUGGAAGGGGGGGAGACGAACUGGGUUUAGGUUUAGGUUUUUAUUAUUUUUUUUUAAAUUUUAAUUUUUUUUUAUAAAUUUUUAUUUAGAAGAUUUAGGUUUUUUUUUAAAAAAUAAAAAAAUAAUUUUUUUUGCCACGUGACACACAUUUGGCAGCCACGUGGCACAAAUGUGGCAGCCACGUCAGCGCUUAACGGAUCAAUGGAUGGAAAAUCUAACGGUUGUAUUAUUUUGAAAUAAAAUAGUACUUGAGGUAUGAAAGUGAAAUGUUUUAAAGAUGUUGUAUGAGGUUGUAAUAGACCUCAAACCUGAGGGGCUACUAUGUAAUUUACCCUUUAUAAUAUUGACAUAAGAAUUGAUAUUAAAUUGUGAUGUGACAGAAAGUCAAUAGUCCUACUUUUUAGAGAAUCUCUUUAGUAUUUCUCACUAGGUGAUCCACCACUUGUAAGUUAAGAUGGUAUUUCAAUUACCAAUUAAUUAAAUCAAUGUUUCUAGAUGCAAAAUCCAUCGACAAGUUGGUGAAUUUUAGGAUAAUUAGGCAUUAGGGCAAAGGGGAACCCCGUAUCCCAAGAUUUGAUGUAAGGAGGAGGGGUUAUGUAGUUUUGGGAGGGAACACACGCACUACACAGUGUUAGGUGUUAAUUUCCCCCGUAAAAAGUUAAAAAAAGUAAGGAAUCAAAGAACAAAAAUUAGGCAAUAAAUCACGGACAAGGGAAGAAAGACCAACAUGCUCGACGAUCGAUCAGUCGGCCAAUAAGAAAACGAAAGCGACGGCAGUCAUGCAUGCAUGCAUGAGUCCAUUUUUGCUCACUACCCUUAAGUGAUGGUAAUGCUCACCAUCCUAUUUAUAAGUCUAUAACCGUUAGAUGAGUUUGAAUUUUGAGAUUUGUCAUAUCCACUACACAAAUCUCGAAAUUCAAACUCAUCUAACAGUAAUAAAUAAAGUGAUGAGCAUACACCAUUGUUUAUGAUAGUGAGGAAAAAUACUCUCAUGCAUGCAUGCAUGCAUGUUGAAUGUUGGAGGUUGCAAAUUGGCGAAUUACGAAACGGCGGACUCAGCCUUGACAUGCAGAUGGGUUCGCUCUCACAUGCGAUUGUAGCCACAAUCCAACAAAUGCAAUUAAGCAGCUAGCUCUCACCCCCAUGUGUGCACUGUGUUGUCUACCGCACUGUGUUGUCUACCUCACUUUCUUCUCAAUAAUAUAUAAGAAUUCAUGAUUUAUAUUCAAACUUCAAAUUACAUAGACACGUCUUGUGAUAAACUCUUACAUUUGUCAUGUUGUGUAUUUGAUAAAAUGCUAGUUGAAAGACAAUUUAUCAAUGUAAACUCGUUAGGUACUGAGCUUUUUCAUGAAAUCUUGACACUGUCUCAACUCACUAUCCUGUUUUAGUAGCUACUACUUGCUAAUGAUUAAAUGGCUAAUAAUUAUCAAGUUGUAAAUAAUAUCGGUGUGCAAGUGAUAAUUACUAAGUUAAGGAUAAUAUCGGAGUUGUUUUAAGUGAAUAUUUGGCUCGUCUCUCAACAAUUUGACAUUAUUUUCUAUUCAAACACGUGACCAAAGUGGCCGGGGUCCAUGCUCAUGUGGAUCUCCAUGUUUUGUUCGUGUGGAGCUGGAGCCUAGAGAGCUUGCUAAAACUGUUUCAAACGGCGAUUGCAGCCAAACAUGCCAUUGCAAUCUAUAUAUGACUGAUCGAAUUUCUCAUUGACACCAGUAGACAAAAAGAUAUAUAUAGAAUCCAAGCAAGGUAGGAACUGUUUGGGAACCAAGUUCCUCUGAGGCUUUUGGACUUUGUUGUUGCAACUUUUCUUUGGAUACAAAGGGGGAAUGGACCCCAAUGCGACACGAACCACACAGAUACACACACAUCAACAACAACAACAAUAACAAAGUUUUUUCACUAAGUAGGGUCGGCUACACACACAUAUACAUAUAUAUAGUUAAGCAGCUAUAAGAGUCUGAGGGUCCUACCAUUUUAGGACUUUUUACCCUGUAAAGGGAUCGAACCCAACUUUGUGUGGAUGAUAAAAUACAUGCAUGGAAGCCGAUUAGGUUUAUAAAUUAAGAGUCCCCCCCGAUAUGGAAUUAUAAGGUCCUAAAACUCCAGGCCUUUUCAAGUUUGAACUUAUCUCAAUGUAACACACACACACACACACACACACACACACAUAUAGAUAUAUAUAUAUAUAUAUAUAUCCUUUUGCAGCUAAAGAAGAAGCCUCUGCAUAUGCAAUGCAUGAUUAAUUGAUCGUUUGCUGCUGAUUAUUCCGAACUUUAGUCGUACAUUAAUGCCGUCAGUCCAUAUAUAAAAAUUUACUUAUUCAUUGAUUGGGUUUUCAACGAGUUGUUUUAACAAUAAUGUUAUUUAGACUCACAAAACUACUGAUGUUAAUUACUACAUGCUCUUUAAUAAUAUAGAUGAAUUCACCAUUGUACGUAAAAUAUGUUAGCGAUAUUGUCAAUUUAUGUAAAGAUAAAUGGGUGAUUAGAUUGGACUGAAGAUGAGUAGGGUACACCAUAAAGAACAUAUGGUAGUGUCCUUGUGCGCGUGGCUUCAUACUUGAGCAUACAUGGGGGCCAUGCUACCCUUCUGGUCCUAAGUUCUGCAGGCACACCACCUCAUGAUACAAAAUCAAAUCUUCUGAAUAAUGAAACUAUGAUUAUGUACUGCGUGACUUAAUCGGUUCCUUUCAAUAUUAUAUGCCCCCUAGCUAUUUCAUAACCAAAAUUUAUUCAGGUGGAAAUUUUCAAUAACAUAAGAGUGUGUGUGUGUGUACAUACAUAUAUACAUAUAUAAAAGAAUCGAGAGAUAUCAAAAGAAAUGUUCACUAGUACAAAAACAUGUUUGCGCGACGGAAACUUGCGCGACGCAGCAAAUUUCGUCGCGCAAAUAGCCUUUGCGCGACGACACUUUGCGCGACGAAGUCUUGCGUCGCUCAAAGCAGUUUUGCGCAACGAAGGUAUACCUACGUCGCGCAAAACAUCUUUGCGCGACGCAAGCCUUCGUCGCGCAAAGUGUCGUCGCGCAAAGGCUGUUUGAGUGACGUUUUGUGCAUCACCAUCCCAACUUUGCGUGACGCAUGUGCAUAUACGUCGCGCAAAGUCGACGACUUUUUUUUCUAAAAUAACCACACACAAGGGCCUUUUUCUUCACACUCAACCUCUUUCUUUCAGACUCUCCGUCUCUCUCAACCUUCAGGUAUUGUAUUUAUUUGAUUAAUUAAUUAACUAUUUAUUGAUUACAUUUAUGUUUGGAUUUUUUAUUUUUGUGUAUUUAUGUUUUUCUUUAAUUAUCUUUGUCAAUGCUUAUUUUUAACAAGUUGAGUUUUGGUUUUGAACAAUUGAAUGAGUAGAAUGAAUGACUAGGAGUAUGAAGGAUUUUGAUAGGUUUAGGGAAACAAAAGCUAAGAAACUGCAAGUUGCUCAGUUAACUUGAUCCAAUUUAGGGAUAGAUUGAUGUGUGCAAAAAAAUGAUUUCAUUUCUCACCAAAUUGGGAAGAGGAAACUAGAAUGUUAGACAUUUAGAGAAGAAUCCAGUUUACAUCUUUGUCAAACCACUAUUCUAUUAUGUGGUUAGUAAUCAUUUUAGGUGUAGUCUCUACCCUUUACGAUUUUGAAUACGUAGUCUCAUCAUAUAGGUCCUUAAACAAUAAUUUUAAGGCAUGAGUGGAAGAGGUAUACAAGAAGUAAAAACUGUGGAAUAUAGGAAAAAAAAAACACUUUGCGCGACGGAGGUACACAUGCGUCGUGCAAAGCUACUUUGCGCGACGCAUGUGUACCUCCGUCGCGCAAAGUGUUUUUUUUUUUUUUUUGCCUUUUGCUUUGCUUUUGGGGUUCUUGCAUUGGCUUUUUCUUUUGUGGUAUCCACUUGUGUAAAUGUUUUAAAUUGACGAUCGAAUUAGUUCCUUGCAUUCAUAUAGGAUCCAAGAGUGUAGCUGUAAAAAAUCAUCAAAAUCGGAGUUAAAAUAACCGUUAACUCGUUAUUUUUUCUUUUAUAACCGUCAAAAAGUUUUGUCCCGUUACUUGAUCUUUGAAGGUUUGUUUUUUUCAAUUUUUGGCGUAUGUGAUCUCAAAGCAUAUACAAACAAAUUUGACGGUUAGAUCGUUGAAACUAGUUUUGUACAAUGUGUAUCCCAUUAAAACAAUAGAUUCCCUAACACUUAUAUUUUAUUUAUACUUUCAUCAAGUAUAACAUAAAAUUUUGUGGUAUCCACUUGUGUAAAUGUUUUAAAUUGAUGAUCAAAUCAGUUCCUUAUAUACAUAUAGGAUCUAGGAGUGUAGCUGUAAAAAAUUAUCAAAAUCGGAGUUAAAAUAACCGUAAAAUCUUGAUUUUUUUGUUUAUAACCGUCGAAAAGUUUUGUCCCGUUACCUGAUCUCUGAAGGUUUGUUUUUUGCCAUUUUUGGUGUAUGCGAUCUCGAAGCAUAUACAAACAAAUUUGAUGGUUGGAUCGUUGAAACUAGUUUCAUACAAUGCGUAUCCCAUUAAAAUGAUAGAUUAUCCAACACUUAUAUUUUAUUUAUACUUUCAUAAGUAUAACAUAAGAUUUUGUGGUAUCCACUUGUGUAAAUGUUUUAAAUUGACGAUCGAACCAGUUCCUUGUAUUCAUAUAGGAUCCAGGAGUGUAGCUGUAAAAAAUCAUCAAAAUCAGAGUUAAAAUAACCGUUCAAUCGUGAUUUUUCGUUUAUAGCCGUCGAAAAGGUUUGACCCGUUAUAUAAUCUCUGAUUGUUUGUUUUUUGCGAUUUUUGGUGUAUACGAUCUCGAAUCAUAUAUAAACAAGUUUGACGGUUGGAUUGUGGAAACUAGUUUCGUAAAAUGCAUUUCCCAUCAAAACGAUAGAUUUACUAAAACUUGAGAGUUUAUUUAUACUUUCAUUAAGUAUAACAUAAGAUUUUGUGGUAUCCACUUGUGUAAAUGUUUUAAAUUGACGAUCGAACCAGUUCCUUGUAUUCAUAUAGGAUCCAGGAGUGUAGCUGUACAAAAUCAUCAAAAUCGGAGUUAAAAUAACCGUGAAAUCGUGAUUUUUUCGUUUAUAAUCGUUGAAAAGUUUUGUCUCGUUACUUGAUCUCUGAAUGUUUUUUUUUUACGAUUUUUGGCGUAUGCGAUCUCGAAGUAUAUACAAACGAGUUUGACUGUUGGAUCGUUGAAACUAGUUUCGUACAAUGCGUAUCCCAUCAAUUUCAAUACAUUCACAAAGACUUGAAGUUUAUUUAUAAUUUCAUUAAGUAUAACAUAAGAUUUUGUGGUAUCCACUUGUGUAAAUAUUUUAAAAUGACGAUCAAAUUAGUUCAUUGUAUUCAUAUAGGAUCAACGAGUGUAGCUAUAAAAAUCAUCAAAAUCGGAGUUAAAACUACAGUUAAAUCGUGAUUUUUCGUUUAUAACCGUCGAAAAAUUCCUGUAACUUGAACUUUGAAAGUUUGUUUUUUGUCGAUUUUUGACGAAUGCGAUCUCGAAGUAUAUACAAACAAGUUUGACGGUUAAAUCGUAGAAUGCGUAUCUCAUCAAGUUGAAUGGUACAUAUAUUUAUUAAGUAGCUUUAAUUUUUUUUAUUUUGUACGUAUAACACUUAAGAAAUUGAAUGGUAUAUAUAUUUAUUAAGUAGUUUUAAAUUUAUUAUUGUACGUAUAACCCUUUGCACGACGCACCAACCAAUGCAUCGCGCAAGUUGUUGAAAUUUUGGCGGUACGAUUGAAAAAAAUAGGCGCUUUUUUUUUUUAAUUUUUCUCAAAUUACUUAUAAUUGCUCUCGCUUGGUCUCUCUCUUCCUUCUCGCUCAUCUCGCCCUCUCUCUCACUCCGUCUCGCUCUUCUCUCCCACUCCGUUAGACGAAUUACAAAGACGAAGGAAGACAGCAGCCACUACCCACCCAUCUGUUUCUCCUCCGCUCCACCCUCCGUCGGCGUUUUGGGCAUUUUACCUGAUAGGGAUGUGCACCACCAGUAGAGCCGCGACUUGUGGUACGCAUUCAACCGAGAGUCACACACUGACACAAGUACACUAUUUGCCUGUAAUCUUCGUCUCCGCACAACACACAUACGUGGGUCGGUAAGCCCUUCCAAUUUCCCAAUCAUUUCCCUUCUCAAAUUUUGACAUAUAUGAAUUCCCAGUAUUCCAAUUACCAGGAAUUCACAGUGUUUGCUGUUUGCGUUCCCAUUUCACUGUAAAUUUCAAUCCUCACUGCCAUUUUUCACCUUAGUUUCCAGUAAUCAGUGAGAAAAAGUGUAAAUUUACCUGUUUAAAUUUGUGGGUUUUCGUUCUAUUACCGUAUAAUGGCGAUUUCUAUGCUUUACGGAGCUCAGAAUCUCAAACUUGUCAAUGGAAUAAUAGCAGUAACACCAAGUGGGUUAGGUUCUGGUGGGAAAAAUUACCCUUAUGGGGUUUUUCCCAGAAGGGUUUAGUGAGCUAUGGCGGUAGGAGUCGAAACACCAAUCGCCGCACCAACUUGCCAAGGCUAAGGAGAAGGAGCCCUUGAAGGAAUGCAGGAAAAUUGAAGGGGAUGCCGAUGAUCUGCCGUACCCAACUGAUUACGUGGAUCGAUAUGUCUCUGCUGGAAGGUACAAUUUCUGCUUGUUUUGCUUCCUAUAAUCAGUGUAAUGAAUUUGCAUUUAAAGGAAUCUCAAAGUGUAAUGUGUUUACAUUUAAAGGAAUGUCAAGUGGCGUUUUGAGCAAUGGGGUUAUUUGUCUGAAGUUCGGGUGUAGAAAUGUAUCAUAAAUUUAGCCAAGCUUAUUAUCACUUAUUUCAAAUUUUAGUGUCAAAUUCUGUUAUAAUGUUUCCUUGUUGUCAGGUUUGUUUCAGAUUUACAUCUUUUUCUUUUUGCCUUUGCUAGAUUUUCAAUUUUGUUAUAAUGUUUCCUAGCGGGUUAAUAGCACUUUAUCAUAUUAUACUUGUAAAGCUUGGCAUGCCCGUCUUUGCUUCAAUCUUGAGGUCCAGUAGCUUUUAGUGUCAAAUUCCAUUUGACCAUGAAUUGUAGAUCAUCACCUGCUUUAAAAUUCAAAACUUGUCUGCCUGCUUUGAAUUGGAAGGAUUCAGUUUAAGUUUAAAAUAGGGAAUAAGUUGACUUACUUUGAAUUGGAAGGAUUCCGUUUAAGUUUGCCUGCUCUGAAUUGGAAGGAUUCAGUUUAUGUUUAAAACUUGUGAUUUAAGUUGUUGAGUUUAUGGCUUUCGCUUCAAAAUGCUCAUGGAUUAAGGAAAAUUUCCUGUUAUUUGAUUUAGUCCUCUCAUUUCUCGUAUGUGGUUAUGCAUCUAUUGCGAAUUCUUAGGGCAUAUCGCAUUUGUCUUUAGGCAUUCAAUUAUUUAGAGUUACCGUACUUACUCUUGCACUCUUGUCACCAUUGAUGAUCUAUCUGCCUGUGUAUUUACUUUGUUAUAUAUAUUUUGGGUCGUGUCUGUAAUUUGUACUUCUAUAGUUAAGUGUGUGGGGUUUGGCGUUUUGAUGUUUUAAGGUCAUUUAAUUGCAGAUAAAUGGUUGAAUUUUUCAGUGCAAAGUGUUAACUAGAUUUCUUGUGGGAUAUGGUCAAUGAUUGGGCAAUCUCUAUGGGAUUCGGUAUCUAGAAUUAAAGAUUACUCCAUUCUUUUCUGUUAAUGUGGAUUGAUAUGCUGUUGUAUCUUCAGUCGGUUCCCUUUUUCAGGAGGUUAUGAUGUCUUUGGGGCUUGGUGUCAUUCUACAAUGUAGUUUUGAUUGUAGGGUUUUUAUUUUUGGGUAUAUCUCUUGUAUUGCUGGUCCAUUGCUUGUUGUAUUUUGCUGUUUAGCACAUUUUAGUAAAAUUUAUCAAUCUUCUACAAAAAGCAUUAUUUUUGUAAAGUGAUAUGUAUAUAUUGUGCAUGGCCUAAAGUGUGUUUUUCCCUGUAGGCAUCUCCAAUUCAUCUAGCUGGAAGGCAAGUUUACAUUGAGAAGCAGAGACCAAACAGCACUGGAUUAGCAGCUCGAGGAAGUAUGUGCUUAAUUUCAUUAUUUUUUUCUUAACAUCUUUGAUGUGGCAAAAUUGUCAGACUUGUGAAUGCAUGAUGUUAUUCUUAAAUACUGUAUCUAUUGGAAAAACAUGAAUGUAAGGGGAUGUAUUGGGGAUGUUGUGUGGAGUCCUCGAGUGGCCCUUACGGUUGUGUUUGUCCUAAUGUUGGCAGCUGCUGCAAGGAAGUGGUGUUGCCUUCAUAAAUCUUAGAAAUUUUUUGUAGUAGAGAUAGAGAACAUACUUUUUCCCAAUUAGUCUCGGAAUCAAAUUUGCAUUGCAAUCUUCCUUCUUCUAAGAUGUCGUUUAGAUGUGCAGUACUAGCGUCAAGGUUUUUCAUGGAACCAAAUCAUUUGUCCUGUUCAUGAGCUUACUGAGUCUAUUGGCAUAGCCAGCAUUUAGAAUGUGAUCUACCAAACUAUUAAGCAUCUAUGCAUCUGUUUUCCUUAGAGAUAACAUUUAAUUUGCUCAACUUUUGGUCUCCUUACGUGGAUUUUGAAUUUUUCAACCAGGAGGAAGGGGCAGAGGCAGAGGAGGUUACCAAACUGAUGCCACAAGGGGGCGUUUUGGUGGCCGGAGUUCAAGCAGGGGUAGUUACGGAUGGAGAUUACAACAGACUGAGAGGCAAUGGUUUUCAUCAGCGUGGCAAGGCUACACCACCAGCCGAUACUUAGUAGCCUGAUGCAUCAAGCCUAAAAGACUACUUGUUGUAGUUUUUUCUUUUAUGUUUUUUUUUUGGGUCAAUUAGUUUUUUCUUUUUUGUUCGAACAUCUUGUACGUACAUUUUCAUAUAUUUUAUAAUUAAAUAUUUUGCUUGGUUAAUUCAUUAUUGUUUAGAAUUUAAUUACAAUAUUUAUUAAAAAUUUAAAACAAAAUAUUUUUGACGAAAACAUAAAAAAGGGAUUUGCGCGACGCAUGCCUACGUCGUGCAAAGACAAUAAGCCACUUUGCGCGACGCAUAUCUUACGUCGUGCAAAGCCACGAAGGCACUUUGCACGACGCAUGACUACGUCGCGCAAAGACACCUAUGCCACUUUGCGCGACGCAUGUAACCCCUUCGUCGCGCAAAGCUUUCUGUCACUGCCUUGCCGCGACGGUUUGCGCGCGACGAAGGUUCGUUGAGCAAAGUUUUGCGCGACGUUUUUUGACUUUGCGCGACGAAGGACCUGCGUCGCGCAAAGUGUUUUUUUUACUAGUGGUUGUGCAAAUUGGAGAAUUGGCUAGGUUUUGGACCAAAGCAAUAAAGGCGUGGUGCAGAUGAAAAUAAAUAAGAAACAAAAAUGCAUCAUCAAAAGAUGGAGAGAGCAAGGGAGGAGGUGGUCAUGCUGCCGUGGUCAGAGUAGGGUGAAAAACGAACACGAAAGCCAGAGGGAUGGACCAGCUGCGGCUUUGGGACCAUUAUUUGUUUAAUUAGGGUAGGGUUGCAGACUUGCAGAUGAAGACUAUUGAGGGCCAUCGAGAGAGACAUUGCAUGUAAAUAAGACUUUUGUUCAUCAAAUCCAAUGAUAACACAAUGAUGUUCAAAAAAUUAAAGAAAGAACAAAGCCACCAUCGAUAGUAUAUAGAUAUAUCUAACUCGGAAAAUGAAACUUUCUUGCAACCAAUGCACCGUACCAUAUUAUUCGUUUGAUAGACAUUUGUCAUGUAUUUAAAUAGUGAAUCAUCCAUGUAAACGGUGAAUCAUUCUUUCGAUAGACAUUUAUCAUGUGUUUAAAUCGUAACUUAAUUUACUUAUAAAUUAAUGUAAAGUUCUUCCUCCCAUUAAUGUGGGAUUUAUUCUCAACAUAUCUCUUCACGUGUGACGAAUUUUCAAGCCAAAGACGUGGACAAUACCACUGGAAUGAUGUGGAGCACGUGUGACCGUUAAACUUCACACAUGAAACAAUCCACUCCAAUACCCCGAAAAAAAGAUAUGUUUCUUUUGUAACUAAAUUAAGCGGAUGAUAAUAAAAAAUUUCGAUCCUGCACAAACAAGGAUAAAAUUUUACCCAAACAUUCAACUAACUACAGUCAAAGUAAACGUGUAAAAAAAUAUUGACUUUGUUGAUUUUAUUUAUAGAGUAAACACCUUUAUAUAUCUCACAAGGACUUCAAAGAGUAGGAUUUCUAAGAAAGAACCGAUUACAUUAAAUUACAAAAUAUCUUUUAUGCGUUAAGGCAUGCAAAAUGUGAGCUGCGUGGUGCCGGCGAGAUGGAAAAUAUAUACUAGCCAAAUUGUUAAAUUGAGUUUGAAACCACGGGCUGAGUUUGUUAAUUAUAUCAAAUAUUUUUAGCAACAAUUGAAGCAGAACACAAAAGACUGAACGAAGCUCUUCGGAGCCCCAGAGUAAGAUGGGCCAGACCCAUUUUGGUACAAACCCUAACCCUAAAAUAAAAAUCGAAAACUGAUUGACAAAUGCAUGCAAUUCAACCCUUAUUUUCGUACAAGUUCGGUAAUAUCUCCGGUGGUCAUGGUUAUGGUUCCAGGAAUUUCAGUUACAUGAUGAUUAAUCGUCAUGGUUAUGGUGUAUUCGAUUGGUCAUAUCUCCAGUGCCCACUUUAAUCCGACAUAACCUUCACCAUCUUCCGCCAUUUUCCACCCAAACACGCAUUAAUUAAUCAAAAACUAUUCCGCCCAAUUAAUUAAUUAAUCAUGAUUAAAUUCUUGUCAUAUAUUCAUGCAUUCAAUUGCAUAAUUUGUACUUGCCUCUGUAUAUUGCAGCGCAUGUGUUAGGAUCCAUCCUUGCAAGCGGGACUUUAUGCCUUGUUUUGGUGCCCCAAGCGGCAUAUUUUGGAACAUAACUAGUUGGAUCAGACGUUCGAUAUUUGGUCAUGCAGAUCAUUGCCUCUUUUGUCUUGAUGUUUGUUAUUUCAGGCAUCGCCACAGAUAGUAGAGCUGUUAGUAAUUAAUCCCUAAUAUGCUCAUACAUAUGCAUAUGUGCACUGCAUGCAUGCAUGCAGAUUGGAGAAUUGGCAUUAAUUGCUGUAGGAAUGACAAUAACUAUCGACGUCCUCGUUGCCAGGUACAUAUAUACAUAUACAUAUAGCACAUAUAUAAAAUACAAUAAUAUUGUACGUUUGGAUAUAUAAAACUAACGUACUUGAAUACAUAUAUAUGACAUGGAGCAGACCGGUCUUAGGGGCAUCGAUGGACCCAGCACGGAGCCAAGGGCCAACAAUAGUGAUGCACACAGACAAGGGAAUAUCGAUUUAUAUUGUAGGUCCAUUCGUUGGCACCAUAUAGACUCGGUGGAGUCGCCUACAAUCUCAUUCGGUUCGCUGACAAACCACUGAGAGAGUUAACUGACAAAACCAAUACUGCGGGAGUUAAGAAGAGUGCUUCCUUCAUCAAAUACGUUUCCGAAAACAAUUUUUAUAGAACUUAAUUAUCACGAGCUGGUGGUCCAAUGGUAAAAGGUGGAUUACGAGACUUCUUUAAAACUGAAAACUGGAAGUCUCUGGUUUGAAACCCACUACUAGUGUGGAAGCUAGACUUGUGGCCAAGGGGAUGCUGAAAUGCCUCUGUUAGUCUUCCCCCUCCGGGAAGAAGUGAAUAACCGUGACUUGUCGCCAAUUGUCCCCUUUUUUUAAAAAAAAAAAAUUCGUAGUUAAUUCAUAAUCAAUUAUUACGUACUGUUGUGAUGGAAUCGAUUGGUCGUCGAUAUCUUCUCCUUCUACAGCCUGCUGCUGCAUGACAUGCAUGUCAAAUAGGUCGUAUGUUGUUUGGAAGGAAGAAUAAAAAAAAUUUUAAUUUCUUUUUUGUUGAUUUCUUAAUCAGUGUUAAAUUAAAUUGUUUUUUCAUAUUUUAUUAUUGGGAAGUGUUAUUAGCACUCCAAAAAUCUUAUUCCACACUCCUCACAAGUGUAUUUUUCUUUCUAAAUAUAGAAAUUUUGGAGUGUAGAAUGAGAUUUUUGAAGUGCCAAUAACAAUUCCCUUAUUAUUUUAUGAAAUAAUUUGUAACUUUUGUGUCGUGCUUAUGAGGUAUUUUAGGUGUACAUUGAAUGCGGUCACAUGCGUGAUAUAAUACUAUUUCACGCAAAUUAUUUCCAAAAGCAUAGGUAGUUCCCAAUAAUUUCAACAGGUAACCAUAUAUAAUUGGAUUACAAUUUCCAUAACUAGUUACUCUAUCAAAAUCAUAUUUGAUUUCAAUUGAUGUGUAACCAUGCAUAUACAUAAUGAUAUAUAGCUGCCUUUAUUUAAUUAAUAUGCAUAUAAAUGUGACCUUCCUGAGAUGCUCCUUUUCAUAAACUUCAAACUAAUUAUUAAUUUAGUUAUAAACAUUAAAUAAUCGCACUUUGUUUAAAAAAGUUUAGAUCCAAAACACAUGGAGCUCCUCACAUGCGUUAGUCAUACGUUGCAUAGAGCAAAAAUCUCACAUGUCCUUCUAUUCAAAACUAUCACAUAUUUCUGACUAGCUACUUUAAUCGUUUACCAAUCGUUACAGGUGUAGUAGGAACUUGUGAAAUCAAUCAAUUGUACUAGCUAAUAUAUAUAUAUAUAUAUAUAUAUAUAUAUUCGUCAAAGGAUCUAUAUAAAUAUAAGUUGUCAAGUUAUUUUCAAAACCAUCUUAAUCGAUCCCUUUGUUUUUUAUAUAGUCUUCAAAGUUAUGGUGAUCAGCCAUAGACUUUUCCAUCUGAUAUGUCCCUAGCUCCCACCAAAUGUAUCUGGGGAAAAAACCCUUGACUCUCUCUAAUCUUAUGGUGCCACAUGGGUAAUUUUUGGUUGUCAUUGUCUUUACCAUCUUUGUAAUAUAAAUGGAUCGAUGUCACCAACAUUUUGUUUCUAAGAAAAGAAAUUAAAAUUAAAAAGCUAUACAUGUCAUAUAACAACUUGUAUUAUAGUUUAGCUAUAUUUUUCUUUCUUUGGAAACGAGAGAUCUCACAUUUAACUUCCAUAAAUAACAAGUUUGUAUAAUAUUUGUGUUGAAUUUGAUAUCUGAUUAUGUCUUAUUUUAAAGUAAAAUAUCAUCGUAUGAAAAAAAUAUGUAUGCUCUAUUUCAUGUUUGGUUGAUAUAAGCUCACUCUCACUGGGGUUAGGUGUCUAUUCUUUUCUUUUCUUUUUUGAAUUGCUAUGUAUUAUUUUCAAGUGGACGAAACCAGAGGAAUACUACCUCAACCUACAUGCUCCACUCACAAAACUUUAACAUACAAGCUUCAACAAAAGAAAAUUCAGAGAACUUAGCGAAGAAGGCUUUGGUGUAUUUAACACAAUACGUUGAAAUGAAGGAAAGCUAUUUAUUGAUAUCCCCGAUAAGUCACAAAUAUAUACAUAUACAUGAGUCAAAAUAAACAAACAAGAGGGAGCCUUCACAAAGGUUGCUUAGGAGAAGUCUCAGCAGUCGGUAGAGCCCCAGAAAGAGCAGGCAUUGGAGGGGGAUCAUUUGGAGCCUCAGUACUGGACAGAACCCUAGAAGGAGGAGCCAGCAGAGGUUGAUCAUUUGGAGCUUCAUUACGCGGUACAGCCCCAGAAGACGAAGGCAAUAAAUGACUUUGGAACAAACCCACAAAUCUCUGAUGAUCAAGUAAAACCUGACCAUCAGAUUCCUUCAUCUGGUCAAGCUUCCUCUUCAUGUUUGUAGCAUAGUCAUGUGCGAGCCGGUGCAACUGUUUAUUCUCAUGCUUGAGCCCUCUAAUCUCCUGUUUGAGACUCAUCACUUCAGCCGCCAAUGAUUCAACUUGGUGGGUUCGAGCAAAUAGGCGUUGGGCCAUGUUAGACACAGAACCUGCACACUGAAUACUGAGAGCCAGAGAAUCCUUAACAACCAACUCAUCAGACCGUUUGGAAAGUAGUCUGUUAUCUUUGGGAGUGAGAAGGUUCCUGGCCACUACCGCAGCGGUCAUAUCAUUCUUCAUCACGGAAUCCCCAACGGUAAGAGGACCAGUAGGGGAGACGAAUGAUGGACGCCAUAUGUUGUCUGGAGAAGGCGUGACUGCCUCUUAAACAAGGUUCAAGUCAAAACGACGGUCGGAUGGGCCAGACAUUUUCAAAGGUGUUGAAGAGAGAAGAGGUUGGACAAAUCAAGAUCUUAGAAGUGUAAGAAUAAUGAAGCUUCUACUGGUGGAGAUUCAAGUGUGCUUUGGAACUUAAUGCCAGCCUCUAUAAAAAUCUGCACUUGACGGAGCUUCAGAAAUCGAAGAGGCGUUUGCUUUCUCAAAAGCUGGGCUGCUCAGAGACCACGAGACGUUUACUUUCUCAAAAGUUAGGCUGCUCACCACGAAGGCCGAUCUUAGAAAUCGAAGAGGCGCUUGCUUUCUCAAAAGCUGGGCUGCUCAGAGACCACGAGGGCCGAUCUCAGAAAUCGAAGAGGCACCUACUUUUCCAGCCUUGUCAGCACCUGUCAGCUUUGCGGAAAUUAUGGGCAUUAUGUCGAAGAUUUCUGGUGAAGUAGAAAGCACAUGAAUCUUACUGUUCAAUCACCCACUUCCCACACGCAACAUUAGCUCAUGGGUACCACAGAUAACUUUGCCAAAGUUCUCUGACAAAGUUGAGACAUGUGAAGCUUGCAGCUCCCACUACACCGCUCUGACCAAGAAGGGUAAAAGAAUAGCAAAGAAACAGCACUAACAAAGUUUAGACACAUAAAUUUUAAAGGUCUAGCUACCAUAUUAUUACCCACAAGGGUAAAGGAACAGUACCACUGCUGGAUAAUUGGAAAGUCCCUGUGUUUCAACCUCUGUGCUUCGUGGCAAGAUAGACUAGCAAACAUGCCCAACCUUUUCUCACAUUCGAGAAAACACUCCCAACAAGAUUGCUUGCUCCAAAAUCGAAGAGGCACCGCCCUCCGAAUCUCGAGAGCCAGACUCCCAACAUGAUUACUUUCUCAAAAAUCGAAGAGACACCGCUAUCCGAAUCUCGAGAGCCAGACCCCUAGCAGGAUUGUUUUCUCAAAAAUCGAAAAGGCAUCGUUAUCCGAAUCUCGAGAGCCAGAUCUCCGACAAGAUUGCUUGUUCGAAAACCGAAGAGGCACCACUUUCCCAACUUCAAGAGCCGAAUCUCCUUGGAUAAAGCUUGUCUGUAAUCUUUACACGCAACAUCAGAUUUCCAGAUACCACAGACCACUUUUUCAAAGUGCUCUGACAGAGUUAAAACAUGUGAAGCUGGCAGCUCCCACUACCGUGUUAUGACCAAGCAGGGUAAAGGAAUAGCAUUACUACUUGUUGUUAAGGAGACUCCUAUAUAUGUUGACCUCCAUCCCUAACAGACAGGCAAACCUGCAAAAAUGCUCAACCUUUCCUCAUAUCUGAGAGGGCACUCCCAAAGAAGCCUUUCGAAAUAUUCAGCUUUCUUUCCCCCCGAUAAUACCUCUGCAAACAAGCUAUACUAGAGCAAGAAUAUCUCAUAUCAUCAGGGUUAAAAGCAAGAGUAUCCCAUAUCAUGUUUUUUCCCUGUCUUUUCCUUUGGCCUUGUUCUUACCUGUAAGACAAGGAGAAAGAGAGCAAUCAGUCAGCACUUGGAAUCAAGCUUCCAGUCAGGAACUGACUGCCUGGAACCCCCUACUUGAUUACUUACCUGGCAUUGCUCUCGAGUACUCAUCUUCAACAUCUUAUGCUUCCAGGGAAGAUACCGCAUCUGCCUGAGGAACAUAUUGAAGGAAUUAUUUUGAAAAACAUGUUCAUUUGAGCAACAUCAUAUAGCAUGCAAUUAACAAUUAAAGACGGAAUCAUGCUUGUAUGCACUCAAAAACAAAACAUUACCAUGAAAUUCAAAGCCUAGUAGAUUGGUGAACCAAUAAUCAACUCAAAACAAAGUGAGUUGAAAUUAAUACCUUUGUAGAUUCCUCUUUGCAUAAGCAAAGGCUAAUCACCUAGAGAGAUAGGGGCCUUCAUUCCUUGCUUCUUAGAUCCAUGGAUUUGGAUGGAAGAAUAGGUUCUCCAAGUUCCCAAAAUUGAGAACCUCUAAGUCUCUUCACCAAGGUUAGAUUGUAGAAGAAAUGAGUGACCUUGGAGUAGUAGGAUUGCUAGAUGUACCCUCCAAGGUGUUGGCCUCUUUAGAGAGAAAAUGGAGAGACAAUUCUCACCAAUUUUCCCCCAAAAUAAACCCUUUUAAUCCUUAAUCACAUUAUGAAUAUUUGGCUAUAAAGUCCUUUAUAUAGUCCCUUCAAAUAAGUGACCUAAAGAACCAAAACCCUAAUUCAUCUAACAUGGCCGGCCUACCUAGGGAUUUUUGGGCUUUUGGGCCUUUGUGAAUCUUUAUUCAUUAAGUUGUCAUACAACUUAAGUCAAUGGGCUUGACUUUCGAAGCCCAUUGGGCCUUAAGGUCCAAAACUAUCCCGAGGUCUUUAACGAACUUAUUCGUUUGAUUAAUUAACAUAUUAAUUAAUCCUUGCCAUAAUUUAAAUGAUUAAACCAUUUAAUCAUUCUUACUCAUCUCCGUUUAAUCUUCAAUCUCCACCUUUUAUGGUGUGCGAUCCAUUAGGUUCCUUUUAGCGAGGUAGUGGGCGAUUAAAACCAUUUUACAUUGAUUGUGAAUUGAAACUAUUUUCAAUUCUCCCUUUAGUGAUUACACACGUUUAGGGCUUCCACAAACCAUGGUUGACGCCUAGCAGCAUGUCAUGGUUACCCAAGCUAAUCAGAAGAGGUUAGAGAACCUAUUCAGUUCGGGAUUACAAAUGCAAUACGAUCUUUCUCUAAUCUAAUACUCUUGACCACAUUGUUUGGUUUGAUAGUUUAUUUGUUCAUGUCUACUAUCCAAUGUGAAUCUUGUGCUUAUAUGAUUUACUUGAAUGUGAUUUGGAACGCAUUCCCUAAUCUCAUUCAUACUCUGGCCAGAGAUUCUAAAUCAUAUCAUAGAGUAUUCUCCCUCAACUGUUUGAAGGUUAGAGAUCCCUUGUUGCGCAUUCACUUGUCUCCAUAGCUAAGUCACUUGACCCCAACGAUGCCGUGGACACCCCGAGGGGGUGACUUUGACAUAAUCAAAGAUCAAGGACUUAACCACAAGACAACUGUGAUGCCUCAGGUCAAAGGACUACUUUGCAUUAUCCCAACCAUGAGUUCUUAUGUGACAUGGAAUAUGAGAACUCUUCGUUGAUCACGUUCAGUGUACUCAUUCUCUAUUGAGCACCUACGUACUUGUCUUGAUGUCACACACACCAAUGACUCGAGACUAAUCACUCUUCCUGAGAGAAGACAUAGUACGUACCGAUCUUAACGGACUGUCAAUGCCCAAUUGACAAUCCUAUGAUCAGGAACAUUUAGGAUGUGUCUACGAAAGAAUGGUCUCAUGAAUCUAACUUCAUUAGAUUACAUUCUCCCAAUCACAUAUUCCUUGGACUUUAUCGUUUAAGCAUAUAACAUUUAUAUGAGACGGCUCAAACAAUAAUCUUUGCCCUUUAUAUGUAAAACUAGAUUAGUUUAACAUGUGAAAUGUCCGUAAAGUAUCAUCACAUGAUUGGCUUUAGGGCACAUUUCCAACACAUAUAGGGCAAGUGAGAAGGAUACAAGGAAGCAUGUGGAGACAAGCGUAACAGCACACGUGCCGAUACAUCCACUACUCUGUCAAAAGCAAAAGUAUCUCAUAUCAGCAGGGUCGAACGUACUAUAGAUUUGAUGGACUUGUUUUGACCCUCAAAUUCUUCAGUCGGCCUUAUACUCUGGAGGAAACCAGAAAACCCUCCAGCCUAGUUCAAGAAUAAGCCUGUGGAAAGUUACUUCUUCAAAAGCAAAAAUAUCCCAUAUCAUCUCUUCUCAUUUUUCUUCUCUUUAUCCUUCAUGCUGCCUACAAGAUAGGGAGAAUGUGAACAAUCAGCCGGAACUCGAAAUCAAAGUUCUGAUCUGGGACUGAUUGCUUGGAGCUCUGAUUGCUUACCUUGUCUGUCACCUCUUUCAGCAGAUCCCCUAGCUCGACGACUUGGAGGACUCCUACUACAUGGUUUGUAUCGCGCUUGACCAAGCCUGAAACUACAAGUAAGCUUCAAGUGAAAUUGAUACAUUACCUUGUGCAUCUCCACCAGUUAAAGAUACCACCCCUGGAUGGAGGAAGAGUACUUCCAGAGAAGAUGCCACAUCUACCUACGAGACAGAUAAGGCAAGUCAAGACGAUACCACACUCCAGAACUUAGAAGUUUCGUGAUUACGAGAUCAUUCUCCCACAAUAUUUCCUAAUGUCAUUUGUACUAAAUCAUUCACUAGUACUUACUAAAAGAGAGCUUGAACCUAUGUACUUGUGUAAACCCUUCACAAUUAAUGAGAACUCCUUUAUUUCGUGGAUGUAGCCAAUAUGGGUGAACCACGUACAUCUGGUGUUUGCUUUCCUAUCUUUAUAUCCAUUUAUAUACUUAUCCACACUAAUGACCGGAGCAAUCUAGCGACGAUCACAAAAAGCGACCGUUUUCGCUACCUAGGAUCUAUCUUGCAAGAGAACGGAGAAUUAGAUAGAGGUCUCAACCAUAGAAUACAAGCUGGAUGGAUGAAGUGUAAGAGUGCAUCCGGCGUGUUGUGUGACCGUCGUAGGUCACUGAAGCUCAAGGGAAAAUUUUAUAGGACGGCAAUAAGGCCAGGGAUGUUGUAUGGCACAGAAUGUUGGGCGGUGAAGCAUCAACACGUACACAAAAUGGGUGUAGCGGAGAUAAGGAUGCUUCGUGGGAUGUGUGGGCACACGAGAAAGGAUAAGAUUGUGAAUGCGGAUAUCCGAGGUAAAGUAGGAGUAGCCGAAGUUGAAGGAAAGAUGAGAGAAAAUCGGUUACGGCGGUUUGGACAUGUGCAAAGAAGGCCUACUGACGCUCCGGUUCGAAGAUGUGACUACGGAACAGAGGUUCGGGGCCGAAGGGGUAGAGGAAGACCUAGGAAAACUUUGGAAGAGACCCUAAGAAAAGACUUAGAGUACUUGGAUCUAACGGAGGACAUGACACAAAACCGAGCGCAAUGGUGUUCUAGGAUUCAUAUAGCCGACCCCACUUAAUGGGAAAAGGCUUUGUUGUUGUUGUUGUUGUUGGACGAAACCAGAGGAAAAAAUAGAAAAUAAAAUAGAACAAAAAUUAUUAGUGUUCUUCUAACGGACAGGAUUACAAGAACACAAUUCAAUAAACGGACAGAAAUUGAGUUUAGAGAGGCGUUGCAGACCGGUAUCUUGUAUAUGUUGGCCACGGCGGGACAUGCACAGCCCUUGCACAUGGCUCCUCCACAUCUUUGGACUUCGUCCCAUAUGUGUAUGAUAAUGUAUUUGUGACUAGUCGGCCCACCCGGAUUCUUAACCGAAUACCUAAAUUCCUACGUUUUCUAAUCUAACGGUUCUAAUCUUUUCACAAGACUAUAUUUGUUGGAAAAGAAGGUAUGGUUGGAGGAAGCUGAUCGUCCUGGGCAGAACAGAAGGCAUUAACGACGGAAAGAACGGAGGAUAUGAAGGCGUUAUCGAGGUGUCAGAAGGCAAUGAUAAUAUGAUGAUGCAAAUGCAAACCAACCAUUUUAAGCAAGUCCAACUUCACAUUUUGAUUUCGUAUAUGACUACACUAAUCACUCUCUCAAUCACUCACCAAAAAGUCUUAUGUCUCUAUCUCUCUCCUACUCUUUCUCUCUAGAAACCUCGGAAGCUUGUUAGCCAAACAACAAGAUCUAAUCUUGCAACGCAAAAAACACGAAACCAAGAUCUAAAGACAAAGACAGACAAGUGGGUUUUGUGUCCUAGAUGCAUGUGAGUGUGUUUUUGCUCCUAACACGCUUGCUUCUGAUUCCCGACUAACAUUUUAGCUCCUUCAUUCUUCAUAACCCAACUGUUUCAUCCUCUGGAAUCCAAUCCCACAGCACUGUUUGAUAUGCUUUUCUUGUAGCUGUGAUAUGGGGUUUUGACUAAGGUAAAUUCUUAACUUUUCUUGCAAUUAUUUAACUCGCUCAUUUGGGUUUUGGAUAAAUUAAUGGACUUGCUUCCCAUGUUUUGCUUGCUUAUUAAUUUCUGAUUUUGUCUCUGAAAGAUUGGCAUUUCUUUGAGGUUUUGAGGGCAGAUUGUAGUGAUGUCUGGGGAGAUAGAAGAGCCCUUUAGUUUUAGCUUUCAGGUACUUCUCUUCUUAUGCUCUUUAAUAAUUUUGUUAGUGAGAAUGCUUCUUAAAUUCUACACCAGUAUGAGAUUAACUGCUUAAUCAGGAAGAUUAUGGCCCGUUUGAUAACCGUUUAAUUUUAUGUGCUUGAUAUGAGGUUCAAAGACGGAUAUAAAUAUACGCCUAGAGGUUGAUUAAAUGGAAUGUUCACGUUAUGGUAAUUAGUAAAUCGUACCAAAAGCGCGAUGAAAUUGCAUACCGGGGUGAUUAGUGAACUCUGAUCUGUUUUUCUGAUCGCUGAUUUGCAUCCCUUUGAUUUACUUUCAGUAGAAGUGCUCCGAAAUUGGAUAUUAAUGCAUCCAUUCUCCCACAAUGUGCCAUUCUGCUACGAAUUUUCAAACUAGUGGAUGAAUUGACAAAUUAUGUUUAGUGAUUCAUUCUGUUUUGUAGUCAUCUGCUUUUAUAACAGCUACUUCUUCGAAAUGGACAGGCAGACUCUUUACACUCUGGUUCCAUAUCAUUUGGGAGGUUCGAAAACGAAGUUUUAUCUUGGGAAAAGUGGUCGUCGUUCUCGCAUAACAGAUAUGUUGAAGAGGUUGAAAAAUGCUUGAAACCGGGUUCAGUUAUUGAGCGGAAAGCUUACUUCGAAGCUCAUUUCAAGAAGAAAGGUUUUCCCAAACCAAAUUUAGUUGAGUGCUAUAGCGGUACAAGUUAUCAAGUCUGUGAAAAUGGUGUCUUGGAGAGUGAUGCGUACGGAGAAGAAUUUGAAGACGGAAAUGAAGACAACAGUUGCGCUCAAUUUGAUGAGGGCUCCGAGGGUUCAGAGUACCACGGAGACAGUCAAGUGAAUGAAUAUGAAAAGGAAGAUCCUGAAGUUUCAUUGUCUGAUCUUCAGAGGGCAUCAGAGUUGAACGAUGAAGAUAUUCUGGUCGCUAUUAAAGAUGAUAAUUCCGAGGAAACAAAUCAAAUUGGAAAAGGUUGUGACAUGUUUUCUUCAAUUAUCGAUGAACCAGAGAACAAUGUAAUUGAGAAUCAUGAUGGUGAUGCUGUGAAUGCUGAUGAAUCAUAUAAUUCUGUUAAGAUAAACCCCAAGACUGCAGCAGAUGAUGAAGUUAACAUGACGAUUGUGGAAAGUUUGCAUAGUUCUUCUUCAAAGGUAUGUUCUUCUAUUAACUCAUUUUUGUUUAGUUGGUAUCAGUAUUAACUAUAAAUUCCUCGAUUUCCUGUCUAGUUGAAGGCUGGAAAAGAAUGCAAAAUUUCCAAGUCCAGAGUAAAAUCUAAGGCCAGCAUUUCUCCGGUUAAGAGAAGUAUUUCUUCUGAGUCGUCUAAAGAUUGUACAAAGAACUCUAAUACAAGAGAAAGAGAGGGUACACGAAGAAAAACCGCCAUUCCAACUACACAAUCAGUUCCCAGGACUCCAAAAUAGAGGUAAGCAUUUUAUCGUCUUAAUGAUGUUCUUCACCCUCUACAUAGUAUAUUAUAAGCAUAUUGGUUUCUCUAAAAACGGUGUGCCUUUGGAUUCUACACGCAGGAAUCUACAAAUCUGAAGGGAAAAUUUGCUCACGAAAGUAGAAGGUAUAUAUUGGUGAUUGCAAGUAGAAAUCCUAGAUGCUUUACUGAAUGGAACCUCAUAUGCAUACUUCUUGCAUUGUUCUAGUGGUAAGAAACUUGGUGAACCUCAACCUCCUGCCGUCAAGCCUGAGUCCAGAGGACGCCAAACGGCAAACAGGUUUAUUAGAAUUUCUUACUGAAUGCUUUGAGUGUUUCUAUCUUUCAAACUGUAAAAUUUUCGUGAAGUCACCCUUCUGUAUUCCUCUCUCGUAUAGGCUUCACCAAAGAGUCAAUUUGACCAAGUCUAAUAUAAGAUCAAGUGUUGCAACUUUCAAUUUCAAAAGUUCUGAACGAGCAGAAAGGAGGAAAGAGGCAAGCCACCAUGUACUUUCUCUGAAUUUGUUGUUUCUUUAGAUUUUGGUUUCAGAUUUAUAUGGCUUACAAUGCUGAAAUUGACUUGUUCCUUUGUCCUUAUGGCUCAUACAAUCCAGUUCUUCACAAAGAUGGAAGAAAAAAUGCAUGCCAAGGAAGAUGAGAUGAAUAAGAUCCAAGCAAAAAAGCAGGUAUAUGAAAUCAUUUGAUUACGUUCAUGUGAAUAUAAUACAGAAUUAUUUCACAAAUUCAUAUUUUCGGAUGCAUCAAUGUGUUGAAAAGAUAAUUAUAUCCUUCAAACUAGUGCUGUACUUGCCAACGGCGGUUCUAAUUCCUAUUUGGAUGAUAAAGUAUAUAACUGAGGGAGAUGCAUGAUUGAUGGGUUUCGGUUAAUGUUAUUGCUGAAUUUUCCUGAAUGCAUGCUAAUGAAACUUCUCUUAAUAUUCUCAACGGGUUUCGGUUAAUGUUAUUGCAGGAAAAAGCCGAAGCUGAGAUGAGACAACUCCGCAAAAGCCUCAACUUUAAAGCAGCACCAAUGCCUUCCUUCUACCAUGUAGCUGUGAAUGCAGCGCCUGAUGGGAGCAAGGUAAAUAACUGCCAUUCAUAAAGGCAUGAACUUCCAAGUGAAUCGAUGAGUUCAAAUUUGAAAUAGAGCAUAAAUUCAAGAUUAGAGGAUGACUUUUUGUUCCACUGUGUUGCAUGGUUCACCACUUUGCCUAAAACUCCUGCGGGAAGGAUGAAUCGCUUCCGAAAAGGAAUCUAUUGAUUCUCUCCCAAUUGAUUGGACCGUAGGUGUGAUGAUUUACUUCACGGGUGAAGUCUCUGGUUCUAGUCCAGGAUGGCUCAGCUGCGCCAAGGAAAAGAAUAGAAGAAGCAUUUCACUCCUUCAUGCAUGCUCCACUUGGCUCGGGAGGAUAUAGCUCAGUUGGUAGAGCUCCGCUCUUGCAAUUGGCUCGUUGCGAUUAUGAGUUGGAUGUCUAAUUGUCCAGGCGGUAAUGAUAGUAUCUUGUACCUGAACUGGUGGCUCACUUUUUCCAAGUAAUAGGGAAGAGGACUGAAACAUGCCAUUGAAAGACUCUACUGAGACAAAGAUGGGCUGUCAAGAACGUAGAGGAGGUAGGAUGGGCAGUUGGUCAUAUCCAGUAUGGAUCAUACAUAAACAAUAGUUAGAGUCGGCAACUUUUCUAGGGUUCCCUCAUCUGGGAUCCAUGGGGAUGAAGAUCAAGUUGGCCAUUAGGAACAUCUUGAUGCACUAUCUCCCUUCAACCCUUUGAGCGAAAAUGCGGCAAAAGGAAGAAAAAUUCAUGGACCGACCCCAUCAUCUCCACCUCGUAGGAACUACGAGAUCACCCUAAGGACGCCUUCGGCAUCCGGGGGGUCGCAAACCGACCAUAGAACCCUGUUCAAUAAGUUGACUGCAUUAGUUGUCCGCUUUUAGGUUGGGUAGUAAGGAUCGAAGAAGGGCAAUCACUCAUUCUUAAAACCAGCAUUUUUAAGAACAAGGAGUCGGGUGGAAAAGGGGGGAAAAGCUCUCCGUUCCUUGUUCUCUUGUAGCUAGAUCCUUUGGAACCACAAGAAUCCUUGGUUAGAAAGGGAUUCCAACUCAGUACUUUUCCCUUUGAGAUUUUGAGAAGAGUUGAUUUUUAGAAAGCACAGUUUAAUGAAAGUUGUAAGCUAUGUUCGGAGGGAGUUAUUGUGUAUCAUUGGCCUCUAUGGUAGAAAUAGUCGGGGCCCUGAGAGGCGGUGGCAGAUGUUAGCGGUUCGAGUCCACUUAUCUCCAACUCGCGAAUUUAGCCGAUACAAAGUUAUAUGAUAGCACCCAAUUUUUUCUAUUCGGCAGUUCGAUCUAUGCUAUGCUUUAUCAUUUUAUGUUUUUUUUUUUUUGCACCAAACAGUUCUUUUCGGAAUGUGAACAAGAUUUUGAAAUGGAAAUUUGAAAAAUAAGGGCCCCGUUAACCGCGAUAUCAUGGAUUUUCUAUAUAUUUUUCAGGUUGUAUCUACCAAAUUCUCUAAAGUACAAAGCAAGUCAACAAAUCCAGGGAGUGGAGCCGCUGCAAGAUUUCCAUCACAUUCAGAGGCAGGCAAGGUUGAACCUCCCACUGCUAACGUUUCUGUAAACACAGCUGAUUUGCAUGAGGCCUCGAGAGAAACUAACAGCAUCAUGGCUGAUCCCUCUGAAACUAGUUCAGUUUCUUCAGCUACACUGAGCAGCAGAAACUUAUCCCGGGAUACUGCAACUAAAAGUGAACACCCCAGGACGAAAGGAAGGGAGAAGGAUGCUAAUUAUACGCAGAAACAUCGGUUAUUAGAGAGCGGUAAAAUGGCAAAAAGUCAGAAAGCUGAAGGGAAGCAGAAAGUGGGAGUCCAAAAAAAUGGCAGAGAGAUGGCAAGGAAGGGUAUGAAAGGCGGUGUCGGCUUUGGAAGCAGUUCAAGAAUGGGUCAUCUAACGGUUGGUGUUGCCUCAUGAAUGAACACCAAGAGAUCAAAUAUAUUCAGCCGUGCAGGAUGAACACUGCAAGCCUGAAAUUUAAUGAAAGCAAAGCUUGUAACAAACCAUGCAGACGAAGGGAUAAUAAUAUAUGGUUGUGCUGUUUGAGGGAGUAGAAAAAUUGGAAGCCUAGGCCCUCUUGCCACCUUUAUAAAUUAAAAGUUUUAUUAAAUUUAUUCAUCGUGUGAUGAAACCAGGUCAUCUUCCAAUGUAAUCAAGCAUCUUGAAAUGGAUUAAUGAGUGCAUUCGCUCUUAAAUUUGAUGUCUCGAAUUUGAUUAAUCCAUCUUCUUCAUCAUCGCUUGUAUAAAAAUUGUGGCAUGAAAAGUUGGAGAAACUUGACCCAUCUUUACGGAUUGGUGGAUAAAAUCCCGGAUAUCUCAUCUUGAGAUUUCUCCUUGAUAUUUUUCAUGCCCAUGAAACAUUCGGCAUUCUAGAAUUCACACAGUCAACUCCAAGUAGUGAAAUAAUACUUUUUUGUUAUCGUUGUUGUAUGAAACACUCAGAAAAGUCACUAACUAGUUUGACUCCUAACUUCAAUUGUUUCAGUGAAGUACUCAGUUGUUUAGAUUCGGUUGUAAGUUAGAGUUCCGUUCCUUUUGUUGAUGGGAGAGUUACGUGCACGGCAAGUGCACCAUAUGUUAGGGCAAAACCGUGUUUUGCGCGAAUAGUUUGACUCAGAUUUCAAUUUUGGUCAAUGUAGUUUUUUUAAUUGUUUCAAUCAGGUCCCUGAAGAAACAAGUGAUGAAAAGUUGGAAUCUGGUGCUUAAAAGGUUGUGUGGGUUGGAAUGUCGUAGGGGAGAUAGAUAUACUCCAUACUCCCAUCUGUCUCUACUUUUGACUCUAAAUAGUAAAUACCAAACAUAAGGCCCCUACCAUGAAUUAAGCCUACCUAUUACCCUAAUAGAUAUUGGAUUAUACUUAUUGCGUUUGAUUCAUGGUUGUAAGAUCAUCUCCAGCUAAGUACCAUGUCUUAUAUUAGACCGUAAAAUUGAUAAAUAUAAUUUCCAAUUAAAGAGCUAAAAAGAAUCACGCUAAAGAAAUCAGACCACAUUUAUCCCUAGGCAGCCUACUAAUAACCAGUUCUCCGUCUAUUAGUUAAAUAUUUUUUUUUCUAAAAACGCUUUUAAUCAUUUAAAAAUAUUUCUUAAAUAAACUGUUAAUGAUAAUGAGGGUCCUUCACCGUAUUUAAAAAUUUGAAAUGAAGACAAAGGUGAAAGGAAGGAGCCAGAGGAGGAUAAUUAACUAGGAAUCGUGAAGUUUCCAUGGACCUGCCGACUGUAAAAUUAAUGAUAUUUUCUGUCCUGUUGUGAAAAGAUAAGCAAAACAAGUGAUGUAAUAUACAAAUUGGUGGUUACAAAACGUCAAAACAUACUCAAAUCAUGCACCUUAAGACAAAAGAAAACGAGUAUAAUAUCGUCAUCUUCAUCUUCUUUCUUAUCACUUUUCUGUUUCUCUCACUUCCAGUGCCAAUCCUCAAUUUACCUAAUCAUAUUUACAACUAAAUGUAUUGAUGGAAGAGAUCAAAUGCAUAACAUGUGUUUGUAAUCUAAAGCGUCUGGACGUUUACUCAAGAAUUUUUUAAAAAUUGAAUAUAAUAUCAUAAAAAUACUUAACAUGAUUAAUUUCAUUAAACAAAACAUGAUGUUUGAUCAUUCCAACGAGAGAUAAUUGUGACUAAGCUAAUUAAUUCAUUAAAACAAGAUGGCUUUUUAACUAAUUUUACAGAAAGUUAAAAAAGUAGACGAAUACAACGAAAAGAUGGGUGGUGGCGAUAGUGUUGAAGAGAGUUGACGAUCUUCUGAUUACAGAGGUUGCCGACGAAGCGUCUUUGUUUCCACGAGCGCCGUUUUUGAAGUAGAAUGGAAAAUAAGGUAAGAUGGGGUCAGGAGGAGGAUUAGCACCAUAACCAUAACCACCGUUAUCAGUAGACGGAGGAGGGUUGUACGGGUAAUUUCCAGUUGGGUUGUUGACGACGGCCGGGGGCGGGUAUGACCCGGUUUGGGACGACGGAGGCGAUGGAGUUGUGGUGGUCGUAGUUGUUGGAGUAGAAGUGCUCCCGGUGCCUGUAGGUGGAGGAUAACAUGGGUAUGCGCAGGGAUUAUCUGAUAUUGUUAUUGCGGGAAAGCUGAGCAUUAUUGAGAACAAAAAGAGAGCUGACAGGAUAAGUGGGUUUAUCUUUGCAGCAGCCAUGGGAGAUCGAAUUGAAUAUGGUGUGGGAUCUUAGGGAAAUGAAUGAGAGAGGAAGGAAAAGGAGAGGUUUGGGGAAGAAAACAAAAUGUGAAAACGAGUGGAGUUGGUGGAGGUAAGAGAAGAGCCCUUGUCAACUUUUUGCCCAUUUUUCUUUUAAUUUUACCCUUACUUUUGAAUACACAAUGAUGACAUGAGAAGGGUAAAAUAGUAAGUUUGUAUUUUAUGAACUUUUCCUUUUUUUCCUUAUUUUGCCCUCACUUUUGAUACACAAUAUUUACAUAAGGAGGGCAAAAUAGUAAUUUUAUAUCGAAAUAUUUACAUAAGAUAAAACAUAUGCACUUAUUAAGCGAAAUUGUCUCACCAUCAUUUUUUUCAUACACGUAAGUGAAAUCAUGAUGUUUUUUGGAUAGUUUGACUGAACUGAAGCGGUUGCGCUUGAGGAGAACGUGGGAGGAGAUGAACGGUUGAAGAGGCUUUAAUUUUGUACCUUUUGACAAAAUGACAAUCAUAUCCCUAUUUUUUCUAUUUUACCCUUAUUUUUUUAGAAAAUGACAAUUAUAUACCUAUUUUGUUCACACACACAAAAUGUGUGCUCUCUGCUAGUACCAUUAGAAAGAAAACUUUGAGAGUCUUGUCAUGACUCAAUGAGUAAAUAAAAAGAAAGAAAAUAUAGAGGGGGCCAAAAGGGGGACUGUUGAAAAAGCAAAUUCUAAAAGUUUUAGCAAUUUUUCUUCAAUACUACAUAACAUUGAAUGAUACAAAAAUUGAAUAGCUGAGGUUAAACAUAAAAAAUUCUAAGUAGUAGUAACAAUCAAAUCCAAUAGCUAAAAUACCCGUAACAAGGUAUAAUAUGUAGCAUUGAAACCUUACCCUAGUUUUAGACCCUGUAUAGCUAGAAGAUGUCACAUUCAUACACCUUUGUUUUAUGAAUAUUUUUUUUUCCGUUAUACGAGAAGUUUAGAACCCUGUAUGUAGUCUUUUUUUACCUAUCAUCCUAAUUACCUUCACUUUUACUUUUAAACUUGGCUAUUAGUGUUAUUUAAAAUCGAUAGUAGCCUGCUAAAUCAACAAAUUUUGAAGUUAAUUAACUUGUGCAAGUGAACAAACUUCUUUAUACACACCUCGUAGUUCUUGGAUGUCAACUCAUUUCGAACUUCCUAGGCCUUACGUUAAAAAAAAAAACAUACAGUUCAGUUAGGUUAAAAUCACUAAUCAUUCUUUUUGAGCUCAAACGUCACCCGAAUUUGUAUAAUUUGAAGUCAUGGGACAUUUGGUAAAUCCUAAUUUACUUGAGUUUCUGUUGACCCUAGAAACUACAGAGCCUACGUGGCGCGCAGGCCGAGUAUUUUCUAAGCUAACUACGUCCUUCGGUGAUUGCGGGGCGUGCCAACUCGUCGGCCGAGCUCGGCCGAGGAGUAAAUUUGUUGAUGUUGCGUUGAGCGCGCUGAUGACUUCUGUGUCUUGCGAUUGCGGCCGAGGAAGGAACAAUUCUCGGCCUCUUGGGUUCUAGAGCCUGAAGACAAGGCUGCUAAAAUGCGAAGUUCACGAACCGAAUUCGGCUUUCAACGUGCCGAAUACAAUAACCUGGUAACACCUCACUUCGCCGAGAAGGCUGAUGAGAUGACCUCGACCAAUAAGAAUUCGGAAAUCCUUCUCGACCGAGACUUGGAUAGGUAACCAGUCGUCCUCGCCGUAGUGCUGUUGAUGCCAACGGAAGAUGCUGCGAGAUCGGCUGAUUCUACGGUGACAGAGCUAUCUAUGCCGACUUAAGAUAUCACCGGUUGCUUUCACAGUGCUGUUGAUGCCAACGGAAGAUGUGUCAGCGAAAAAGAAAAAGAAAAAUCACAAGUUGUGAGAGUUUGCGCAAGGCAAUUUUGUAUUGAUUUUGUAGGGCUCUCCUGAUGCACAGCGUCCCCUAUUUAUAGUACUGAACCUUGAGUCCGAGUUUACAUCCUACUCGGACUAGGUUUCCAUCUCCGGAUCACCUCGACCAAUCCUACACCUACUAGGACUAUGAACCUAGUCCUUAGCUAAGCUGGAUUAGUUUCCUGGAUAUCCGAUCCCGUCGAGACUCCCCAUUGCACUAGGAUUCGUCCUAACCGCCCUAGGUUUGGACUCCCACGGGUUGACCGAUCCAUGGUCCUUUUGCCGCCCGGCCUCCUGGGCCGAGAGUGAUCCUACCCUCGGCCCAAACUAUUAUUUUGGGCCCAAACAUUGCCCCCUCGCUUCUGAGGUCCUCGGCCUGAAACCUUCGGCCGAGUUUCGGCCUUGAAGAAGCGAAUCUACCACUCAGGAUCCUAAUACCCGAGUUCCAAGGCGCAUUUAUUGAGCACGAUCGCACGAUCUUGACCCUGCUAACCCACUCGCCACGUGGCGUCUUCUAACAUGGCCAAUCCCCCAUAAUGACGUCUAAGGCGUGCGGCAGCCUGAACCGUCUUGCCAUCACCAUGUAAAAAGACCUAGUCUACCUAGGUUCCUUAUCCCAUCAUUAUCCAAGAUCAUGACUUUAAAAUCAUCAAAUCCCCAAGUUUUUUUUCAAUCUGCACGUUCAUUGCUAAACAUCCAAAUUAAUUUGAACUGUACCUCUUACUUGAGGAUAUAAUUUGCAUCAUAUCCAUCCCGUUUAAGAAUAUGUCAAGAUAAUUCAAAUUAAAAGAUAAUUAUGAUAAAACCAUAAUAUUAUCUUUUAACAAAAAUAUUUUCACUUUUCCAUCCGACGGCUGAGAACUAUGUUUACUCUACGGUCUCGAUUACACGGGCCGAUGAUGUAAAUUUGGGUCCAAACAGUUUCACACUAGUUAACUAUAGUGAGCCCCAAUCACUUGGGGAGAGCUUAGACGUACGUAUUGGAGGAAAGUUAGAGGAAAUUGUGUGGGACUGGGCUAGCUAACUAUUAUUGUAAUUAUCUGCAAUUAUUGGCCUUGCGUAGUGAGGGUGCACGUCAAAGAUUAAGAAAUGUCAUAUGAUAGCAGCCUUACAUGACUGAAACUCAAUCAUUUUAGUUUUGGGAUAAAUUAUCACUUCCUAAAAUAUAUUUCUUUGCUACCUGUCCCAAGUAAUGUUUUAUGUCAUAACUUAUACUUGUGAUUCGUCCCGAACCAUUGAGUCAUUCUGUGAUGAUUAUAUACUUGUGAAUUGCUAACUAGAAGGAAAUAUGUUUUUGCUGAGGCAAUAGUUUCAAUGGCUUGGAUGAAAACAGAUCACUUAAACCAACCUGCAGGAUUUAAUUUGAUCAAUGUUUGAGAAACUUACAUUUAUUUUGUUUUGGUGAAAAACCCUAUAGUUGGUCAUCUCUGCAAAUAAAUUAAUAAUGCUUUAUUCAUCUCUCUCCCAAUUUCGAUGGAAUUGUAUCCUGUUCCCUAGCUAGCUUCUUCAAACUUGAAACUUGUGUUAAUCUGCUAUAUUAUUGGAUCUUGCCAAACUAUCGAAAGAAGCCGAGUAUCGAAGAGAUCACUAGUGACUAAUGAGUUGUUCAUUUGAUUCUUCACUAUAUAUAAAAGGGGACAUGAUGAUUACAAGGAACAUUCUUCUGGCAUAAAGCUACUGGUUAGGUAAAAGCGAUAAAGUAAUGAAUAGAAGUAGAUUAUGUUCAAAAUUCGAAACGCUACUGUUAGAGUAAGUCCAACCCUAAAGAUUUUACGCCAGCAUCAAGCACAUUUAUCCACUCAAGUGAACAGUGAUAUACCACAAUGAACAGUAAUAGGUCAAUUUUAUUAAAAAAUUAUUAUUUUUUAUUAUAAAAUAAUAAAAAAUUAUUAUUUUAUUUUUAAUUUCUAACUUUAUAAAAAAAAAAAAUUAUUAUUAAAAUAUUAUUAUUUUCUCAUCUUCCACACCUCCUUUCCCUUCCAUUUCUGCACGCCAUCCACCCCUGCACUUCCUACAUCUCAUGCAUCUCCUCACCUCCUGCAUCUCCACAUCUCAACAACUAACUCCUCUACAACAUCUCCACACCUCCUGUCCUUCAACGCCGUCGAUUCGUCCUCCUGCAUCUCCACACCUCUGACGUUGUCGCUUCGUCCUCCCGUCGUUCUCCCUCCGUGGUUCCUUCCCUCUCGACAUCCUCUCCCGCCUCGACCAGCUCCGCUCCUCAGCCUCCACAACAACUCCCUCUCUGGCGCAACUCCCUCUCUGACGUCAUAUGCCCUCCGACGCCACGCUGACGUCAGAUAGGCCGGUCCCAAGGUCUGUCGAUUUUAGGCCGGCCUGUGGACUGGCUUAGGCUGGGUGCCAGUCGAUUUCACGGGCUGGAGUGAAUUGACAAGGUGCCAGCCUGAUUUUUUGACUGGGUGCUGGGCUAUUCCACCUCCGGUGGAACUGCUCUUAGGUAAAAGCGAUAAAGUGAUGAACUGAAGUAAAUUACAGGUUCAAAAUUCGAAACCUCUAAUAUUAUAGGAAAAAAAAAACACUAGUCCUUCAAGGCAUGCAUGUCUUUAAAUUUUAAACUACAAAAAAUAAAAAUAAAAUUUAAAGUCGCUUUGGCCGUGCGUAUAUGUGCGACCAUAUGCAUGCGUAUCUAGCAAAUUAUUGUCGACAGCCACCAGCUAAAUUCCACACCUAACGAUGUUCUUCUAAAUAAGCAUAAUUAAUAUUUGUGAAAAAUAUUUGAUAAGCAAAUUAAUCAUGGAAAGAGACAGACAGGUGUAGAAAGAUGCAAUUGAAAGGCUUUUGAAUAAUUCCGAUGAUUUUUCUUUGCUGCCACGUAGUCAAAGAGCAAACUUGAAGGCACAACCGCACAGACGGAAGCAAAAAGUGAGCAGAGGUUGAGAAGUAAUUUUGACGAACAUGAACAAUGCAACCCAACAUAUAUAAAAUUCGAUCACUCACUAAAUAACAUGAUUACUAUGAUUUUUGUAAGAGAAUUAUAGGGUUUACCAUUCUAUUUCUUACACCUAAGACAGAUUCAUCCAUUAUUUGGUACCCUGCGAUUUUAAAUAAGCAAACCCCUUUGACAUGGUAGUUACAACUACCAUUUUUUUUUAAAUGGACAAGUUGGUGGCAGUCUUUUUUUUUUUUUUUUUUUUGUGACCGUGAAAAGUCACAGAGGCAUUGCAGUCUCUUCAUGGCCACCAUCAUGUGAAUCAUUAGUGCCAAGAAUCGAAUUUAGGAUGUGUCGUGUGAAAUACGAACCCAAAAUUUAUCCACAACUAUUGAACCACCCCGUGGUGGUUAGUUAUAGCUACCAUUGAUUCUACUAAAGUUAUUAGGACCAUAAGGACCCCCUGAACAUCGUGCCUUCUAAAUCGCCCUAAUAUGAUGAUGAUGAAUUUAAGUUGGACUGGACGAGCACACUAUUUUGGCCAAAAUUUAAAAUAAUUUUGCUUACCCAAUGAUAUGCAAUUAUUUAUGUUUUCUAUCAAUAAGAAAUCUUCAAUUUUUAUUUUAAAAAGUUAGAUAUUUGGGAUGAAUUACUUGGUGGAAAUUCACUCUCUCAACAAUUUAUUGACUAAUAUCAAAAUUGUGUUUUCAGCAAGUAUGAUGAAAGUGUUGCAAUCUUUUAAGUGUGAAUUUUGGGUAUUCGAAAGGAAUGAUGCUUUGCUUUAUCAUCACCUAUAGAAAGAGGUGAGCUGUGAUGUUAGAAAAAGUCCUUGGGAGAACAUGUACAAUUAGAAACUUCCUUUAAAACAUUUAUCUAUCUUAUAACUUUGAAAUUGAAAUCUAUAAACGUGGCUGUAAAUAAUAGAAUGGAUUUGUCUUUUUUACACACGUAUGAUGCUAGAUGAGAAUCAUGCAUCACCUUUUUAUCUUAAACGUUUUCUUUUCAUCGAAUUAACGUCAUAAGAUAUACAUAUGUAAAUUAAGUCAGUUAAUUAGAGUAAUAAAUGCAUUUCAGCAUUGCUUAUCGUUUCUUCUUUACUCGAAAUCAAAAUGGGUUGGUCUUCAAUUUCAUGAACAUUGAUUUGAUGAUUUACCAUCAAUCUGUUAUGUUUGGUUGGAUGGUUGGUGACUUGGUUAACCUUAUCAAUGAGCUGCCAACUUGGAUUUCCUAGAGCCAAUCAGAGACUUGCACGCGACCCAUAUAAUUAAGGAAUCACAAUCCUUACUAAAUUAAGCACUGGAUUUAUCUCUGUUUUUGUCACAUCUUAAUAUGCAAUUUCUAACUCUAAUGAUUUUAUCCAGACUCUAGAGCAAUGCAUUAAAAAACCAGUCAGCACAACUGCCACUUCCAAUUGGUGCAUCCAUGAAUGGUGCUUAGUAGAUAAUGGCAACUAGCUAAGUCUUAAUCAAACUUAAUUACCAAACCUGCCCUAGGAGACUAUUUAAAGUGAUGAAAAUUGACCGACGACCCACCAGUCGUUGGUUGUUUAUAAAAUUCAAGAUUAAUAUGAUGUUGAAAAGAGAGAAUAUUUUGUUACUGUCUUCAAAUGGUCGUAAUGUUCGUGAUUUUAUUUAUUAUUAUUAUUAUAUACGUUUAAAUUUCAAGAUCUAUAUACAUAGAUAUAGAUUUCGAAAUUUAAACUUUUAUAAUUAUAAUAAAUAGGAUGUAAGGCGGUGAAGAGAGGACGAUGAGUAAAAAUACUUCUAAAAAGAAAGCAUGGGACCAUAGUUUGGUGAAACCGAAGUUGAUCUUUCUUUUACAAGCACUGAAGCAGAUGCACUUUUCGACAUUUGACACGUUAACGGAAUGGAAUGAAGUCUGACAUCAAGAUCAAAUGGUCGGCAUUUUUUAGCAUGUCACAGCGACCGGCCCACGUACCCAAAUUUGACAGUCCAUGUGAACCUUCGUGAUAAUUGGCUAUGAUGUGAACACAUCAACCGACGAAAGAAAUUUAUGUGCAAUCAGAACAAAACGUCAAAAUGCGUAUCGUUUUUGUUUGAAGAUUGAAUACCACCUCAACCUUCUGAUUACAUCAAGUUCUUCUCUAAGAACAUUAAGUUUUGUUAGGGUUAACUCAUCCUCAAGAACAAUCUCGAUCACCCUAAAUUUUACUUGGUGUACGACGAAAACUUUAUCGGUUUAUAUUUUUUCUGUCAUGAAUUUAUUUAUUUUGAUAAUCAGAGUUAUUAAAAUCAUUGUUCUAAAAAUCUUCGUCUAGACCUUACUUAGACACUAAGACGUUAAAUCUUUACCCACCGCUUAGCCCUUUUAUAACUUUGUUGAAAUACUGUGUGUCGACUUUUUUAAACCUUUAUGGAAAAGAGCUUAGUUUGCAUGCCUCAGAAAGUUGUUGUGCAUUGUAUGUAUUUUAUUUUAUCAACGGCCCUUUCACAGAUUGCGAAAAUUGUGUAUUUUGGUUUUGGAUUGCAUAUUGUAUUGUCUACUGUUCGCAUCUGAUGACCAUUUUCUCAUUAAAAAUGAAUACACCCAACUAGUACUCAUGUACAUACAAACGCAUCAUUGUCGUUAUAUUUUUUCAAAAUUUUAAUUUUUUAAAGCACUUGGGUAGUCCAACUGUAUAUUCAUUAGCUUGUUAAGUAAGCAAAAAUAGUAUUUCUCCAAUUUAAUUCUAACCGUUCGUUUUCUGUACAAUCGCGGAGUCCAAACUAUUGAGACUAUCAUAGGAAGUUUUCUAACAUACGCAAUUGAAAAAUCUGUGGACAAAAUGCACAAGUUCUGCCUUGAAUCACAUUCAUAGUCGAGUCCACAUAGCACAUGCCACGUGGACACAUGAGCUUACCCCUUACCUAAGCUACAAGCACAUCAGACGUUAUAUAAUUAGAGGGUCCACAAAUGAAACGAAGUUUUUUAAUUAAGACAUCAGUGGAAGUGCAAGCUGGUGAGUUGGGUUGUCGGAUCCAUACACACUCAAUCAAGUUCCACAGGAUCGAUCGCAUCGAUUACGAAAGCAAUGAAAUUUCAAUAUUAAUUUUUAAAUUUUCGUAAUUUAAAUGAAUUUAUUAUAAUAUAUUGCUAAUAUAAGCCAAAAAUAUAAAAUAAUUUGAGAGCAAGGCACCAGAAUUGAACGAAAGAAAACAAAACUUAUGAGAUUGGAAAAAUAAAAGUGAUUAUGUACUCUAAUGCUAUUCAUAAUAAAAUUGAACUUGAAAGAUUUUAUGGAAGAUUAUUACACAAUUGGCGAGAUAUGAGAUUAGAGCAAGAAUUAACAAAAUUAUUAACCAAUCCUUGGGCCCUUAAUAGUUUCCUGGAUUACAAAAACUGAUAAUCCUGCCUUCAAACUCUUUAUCCUUCACUAUAACACCCAGAAAUUCAAUUUUAUCUCCCUUAUAAUCAUCUGAAUUAAUUUUGUAAUACGUACUUACCAUAUGAAUUAACAAGUCAUAACUGAUCACCAAAAAGCCAGGAUACCCAGCAGUCCUAGCAAAACUGGCAACGCGUUAACCGAACUCCGACUGGCACUGUUGAUAUUCCGGUCGACAGGGUACAACUGCCCUGGCGGACCUGUGAUGUAUACCAACGAUGAAGGCGGUGGAGGCGGGUAUUGACCAGGCGAGUAUGGUGACGGUGGAUUCUUGGGAGAAGGCGGCUUCUUGGGAGAAGGUGGCUGCGAUUUUGGUGGUGGAGGAGGACACGGUGAUGGUGGUGGUGGUGGUGGUGGGGAUUGAACCGGCGAAGGUGGGCUUGGAGUGCACGAGCCGCACUUGCCCUCGCCGGGCGCGCCUGGGGUGUCAUCCCCGUGGGCUGGGCCUACUACGUAGGCAGUCAGAAGGACCAUGCUUAUUAGCACCGCCGGAUGUUUCGAGCCAUAUUGCAUUUUGAUCGCCAUAAUGCUGGCUCGUCUGUCUAAAAUCUUGAUCGAUUAUGCGUCUACGUUGGUUGCUAUGAAUUUGAAGGAGAGGAACAGGCGGUGGUUUGCUACGUUAUUAGGUGCAUGGGGGGUUGAAACUUGAAAGAAGGUAAAGAAAGUGGUUUGGCUGUAGGGCUUGUGGGUUUUGGUGCGUUAGGAAGAAAGAGGAUUAAUUUGAUGGGCAAACUGGAGUGAGUGAGAGACGUGUUCUUAUGGGGCUCUUUUUCCACUAGGUCAUCGGUGGAAGGAUGUUGCUUUUUGGACCAGGGAAUUGCACUGCAUGUGGAUGGUCCAAAUUAGUCGACCCCACCACCAUUUACAUUUCAUAUCUAAUGGGUGUAUGGGCGUAUAUACAUGCAAUCAAUUUUAAAAAAAAAAACUAACGAAAAGUUAAAAAAAAAAAAUCUUUUUAAUGAAAAGUUCUUUUUAAAUGUAUAGUGAAUAGUACCAGAAAAAUGUAUAAAUAUGAUUUUUCGUUAAAAGUGAACAAUACCGGAAGUGUUUUAAGUGUUUUAUUAAAACUCCUUUUUUUAAUGUACCGAUAUCCAUAGUAUUAUGUACAACAUUUUCUGAAACAUAACAAAAUCUUAGAAAAUAGUGAGGGGAAGAAACCGGGAGUAAAUCUCCGUACAAUAAUGCAUUGAUUGAAUUUAAAGAUAACUGGUUUAAUGUAAAAAAUUGUAAGAAAUUUUACCUUCGUAAGAAAUGCUAAAAAGACUAUUUCAAAAAGUAAAGCAUUUCAUGGACUCUCUGUCCCUUUUAUAUUUUUAGAGCAAUUCCACCCCUAAGGACUUUGCGCCAGCACUCAGCGCAUUUAUCCACUCAAAUGAACAGUAACAUACUCCAAUGAACAGUAAUAGGCCAAGGCAUCUCUACCCCUAAAAAAAUGCGUUGGCACCUAGUGAAAAAAUGCGCUGGCACAAACGAUCUCCAUCCCUACAAAAUGCGCUGGCACCCAGCCCAUUUAAAAUAUUUUUAAAUUUUGUCUAAAAGAAUAAAAAAAAUAAAAUAGUUUUAAUUUCGGAUAGGAUUUUUAACCAAUCUCGUCACGCCACGUGUCAUUAUCUGAACGUACUAUUUUGUGAAUAGAUUUCCGCUAAGAUUUUUAACCAAUCUCGUCACUCCACAUUUCUCGCUUAUCCAUCUCAUUACCCGUAAUCGGGUCAUGAGUAGUGUGAACCCAACAUUCACACAACGUAACAUCUUCAAUGAGCUUCCAUGAAGACAUUUUUUUCUCUUAAAGUGUAGAAAAUAUUGAAAUGUAGAUAGUAUAGAAAGUGUAGAAAAUAUUGAAAUGUGGUGUAAAGGUGGAAGAUGAGGGUUAGGUAUUUAUAGGAAAAAAAAUAACAUUUUUCAAAAAUUUCUGUAAUUUUUUUAAAAUUUUCUGUAUUUUUUAAUAAUUUUUCUGUAUUUUUUAAUAAUUUUUAAUGAAUUUUAAUAUAGUUAAUUAAUCUGGACCGUUGGAUUUGAAAAAUAUUCAAAUCCAAGAGUCAGGGAGUUGCCACGUGGCCAACGGUCAUAUUUCUGACCGUUGGGCCCUUUUUUUUAUUUACUUUUUGUGAAAAAAACGUGGACCGUUGAUUUUUGAUCCGACGGUCUAUUUUAAAAGUAAAAUUUAAUUUUUUUUUACAGUUGGAAAUCCAACGGUCUAGAAAACUAGCCGUUGGAAAUCCAACGGCAGAGAGGGAGCCACGUCGCAAACUCGGGGGGUGGAACUGACAACGCCUGCACGCGGGCCCGGGCUCUGAAAGCCUGUCGGGCACUCGCGCCACGCCUGCGUGAAGCGCACGCGCCAGGCCAACAGCCCGGCUUCUUGCUCAGUCUCUUUUGGGCUGGUCCAGAGCCUAGCUCGGGCUGGGUACCAGUCAACUUGAGGGGGUGGACUUGAUUAACAGGGGCCUGGCUUGUUUUUUGGACUGAGGGCUGGGACAUUUUGUCCCCGCUGGACUUGCUCUUAGUGCAAUGUUUAUAAUAUUAGCACAUGAAUUAACGUUAAAUAGUGAGAUAAUAGAUAUUCUAUAAAAAAAUCUCAUUGAGAGUCUCCUUAGCAUAUCUCAUACAAUCGUAUUCGUAGUGCAAUUUUAAAAAGUAUUGGCUACUUCAAAUUUUUCUUGUUUACGAUGUAGUUAACUUUUUGCUCGUACUUCCAUGCUUGUACUGAAUAAGAUACCCCUUAAUUUGCAUCAUUUGAGACCGAGUUUUCAUAAACAAAUUGGAUCAUUAAUUGGAACAUUCUUAUAUGUUGGGACGACCGACUCAUAUUUCGGGGAAAUCUUCAUGUUGCAGCAGAUGGUUGGUGCAUGUUCAAGAUCGAUGGAUUACCUGCCUAAUUGGUGUGAAGUGUCAUCCGAUAAGUUCUAUGUCUGCUGAAACUUAUAGUAUACCGACACAUUAGCAAGGUCGAAUACAAAAGUAUGAUGAGACUGCAUGAGAAGAUGAUUAGGGUUGCCGAAGACUUGCUGAGGAAGAGCUCCAGUCUUGAGGAAGACUUGCAAUGACUGGCUGCCGAGGCACGUGGGGCACGUAUACGGGUCAAUCAACGUAUUCGUCAUUGCCUGAGUGAAGUCUUGUCAAUUUUAAAGAGAUUCCAAGGUUCCUUUGCCAUACAUUAGACACGUUUGAUGACCUAGCCAGUCCCUAAUUACGUCCACUUCCAUCGUGAAGGGAUCCGAUGGAGAGAUGUCCCUGUCUCUUUUUGGUGUCCACCAUACGUUAUUGUCCAAUCAUCAAAAUGAAUAAUUUACGAGUUAACUUCGAGAAAAAAGGACAAUAAUUACUGAUAUUAGUGGUACAUGUCAAUGUUCAUUUUUAGAAGGGAAAAAAAUCAUCAAAUUGUAAUGACGGGAACUUAAUCCUGAAGAAAACGAAUAGGAAAAGGGGGAACAGAUAGGGGAAUGUGGAAUCUACUACAUGCGUUAAUAGGUAAAGAGGCACCGACCCAUUUUCCCUUAAAGCAUCUACGAUUCCUCCCCUCUUCUUGUUGGCUUUCAUACUUCCAGCUCAACCUCCUCAAUUAUAUGAACAUUCUAUUAAUUGAAACAAUUUUUAAGAGAGAUUUUGUAUUUUGUCAGACUUUUAGGACAAAGAUUAAUCGUUAAUUUACGUGAAUACUGUUCUUUUUCCCAAUUAAAUCCAAGAGAAAGAAACGUAAGAGGAGAAGCCAAUCGCUCAAAAACAACUGUAAAAGCAAGAAAAACUAAUGAAAAUGGCUUGAAAACUUUGAGCUUUAACGAUAAGGACAAAAUAAAGGGUAAAGUGAAUAGUAUUAUGAUUGAUCUUUUAGUAUAAAAAUAUGAUUUUUCGUUAAAAUAAACAGUACCUUAAGCUUUUCGUUAAAAAUCUCUUAAAACAAACCCUUGAAAGAAAAAAAAGUCCAAACAAAUAACCAAUCCAGCACGGGCCAAAUCUACCAUCUACUUUGACAGUUGAAUCCAAAUAGUAGCGAAACCCCUCGGCUUUGAUGGGCUGUAAACGAUUAAAGCCCAAAAAAUCUUACAGGGCAUUCAGAAAAUACAAGUCCACCAAAGCCCAUAAAAAUCUAAAAGGGCAUUCAGAAAAUACAAGUCCAAUGUAAAACUAGGAGGAGAAAAAAACAACAAAAUUGCCCAAAUUUUUGCCUACAAGUUGUAAGUCGUGUACACCACCCAAAGAGAACCCAUACAAUGUUGAAUAAUACUUGCUGUUAAAAAAACGAUUGAGAAUUCCUAUUUAAAAUUAUUCGUUACUAAUGCAAAAAUUAAUUAAAAUUAAAAUCGUUUAAUCAAUAAAUUGUAUAAAAACAGAUGAACAAAAUUUAACAAAAUAUUACAAACACCUAUAUAUUUACUACACUAUAUUGACUAACCGACAUUAGUCUUAAUUCAUUUUUGCAAGGAUAAUCUUUAUGAAGUGAUUCUUAUAAACAAAAUUUUAAUCAUAAGCAUAAAAAUCUAAGAUUCAAACGUGAAAAAUUCAUAGUAAAAAUUGUUACUUGAGCAACCGAAACUUGUUGUACAAUAUUUCACUUAAUUGCCUUUUUGCUCAUCGGAUCCUCUCCGGAUCCUCUUUGUAGGGAUCCGGAAGAUCCAUCGAUCACGAUUGUUCAUCGUCAUCGUACAUCGUACAGUCAAUUUCUAACCGCACAAUGUACGAUGAACGAUUAUAAUUGAUAGAUCCUUGGAUCCCAACAAAAAGGAUUCUCGGAUCCUUUUCCGUUCACUAAACUACUAAAGAAUGCGUUGACAAAGAAACCCACCAAAGAAAGAAGAGGAUACACAUCCAUCACCAACUCAAUCGACCAACAAAUGCAAACAAAUCAAACACUCAAAAGCAUUCUCAUCAUUUUUGUCCUUCCCACUAAAACGAAAAAUAUCCAUCUCCAUACAUCCCUACGUUUGGUGCAUGUAGAGCCGAGCCUGAACCCGAACCUCUCCCAAUCCCGGAACUAGAUUCGAGCCGUGUUCUCUUCGAGCAUCCAGAUUGUUCGAAAGCCGCGGAUUGUCCACUUAAACAAGAGGACGGAGGAGGGCCGAACCCUUGGACCAUCUCCAUGAACAUCGCCUGCAGGUCCUCCAUGCUAUAACUCUUUGCCUCUCUUCUGGACUCCGCCAUCAGAGACACCAUUUCUUGCACAAAAUCGCCGAACCCCUGCUUUCCACAUAAAUAACAGAGCAACAGACGAAAUCAAACUCACAAUUCAACACACCAUCUAACCUUUUUUUUUAAAGAAAAAAAAACCAAUCAACGAACAGAAAUAUCCACCUCGUCCUCUUCGUCGUCAGGUUCGUACAGGCCAGCGUCGUACAUUCUUCGUUUUCUCUGGUCUGAUAACACUGCAUCCUCCGAUCAAAGCGAACACAGUAAACAACAAAGACGCUAUUGAUCUUCUUUAAAAUUAUAAAAUAAUAACUAAUGAUUAAUUCAAACAGAAAUCCCACCCAGUUUUUUAUAUAAAUUUCACCUGAAUAGGCUUCUUGAAGUUGCUGGAAUUUCCGCUUGGCUUCACCCAACAAACAAGGAGUUCUUGUCCACCUGUCCGGAUGCCAUUGCUGCAUAAAAAUUAAGAAACAAGUUGACCAAUACAAACCGUCAAAUAUACGCAGACUUCAUAUAUUUCACCAAAAUCUGGGAAGAAACAAUCUUCCAGAAACACAAAAAUCCAAUAAAAUCUAAACUGGGUUGGUUGAACUUGAGGAUUCAAACUCGUAUGCAUCGCUCUAGCCAAUGUGAUUACGCCGCGUCUGAUUCUAUAAAUAUAAUUUAGAAAAGACUGAAAAGAUACGAUAUUUGAUUAAUUUUGAUAUAGUUUUACUUACCAUAGCCAGCUUGCGAUAAGCACGCCUUAUCUCUUCAGUGGAAGAAUCCGAGCUGACACCAAGAACGCUGUAAUAAGAUGGAGACCCCUGAAUCCGAUCACCCUCCAUCUCCAUCAAAACCAAACUCUCGUAGCUUCUUCAAAUCCCAAAAUUGCAGCAAAACACAAUUUCCUCAAAUAAUCUUAAUUAACCAAAUGCUUAGUCUGUAAUUAAUUAGUAACGAUUAACAGAAAAGAUUACGAGGGAAAGGCGGUGGUUGCGUAGUUUAUGAUGCAGCGAUAUAGGUCGGUCGUGCAUGAUAUAUAGGAGAAGACAGAGCCGAAUUAUCUGCUUGGCUUUUGAUUUUUAACUCACGUUUUGCAAUCCGGAACGUUCCGGAAACACUUUGAUAAACGUGGAAUUUUCUUUCCCUAGAUUUUUUCGGCAUUCAGAUAUUUUUCUGUUUCAAGGUUAAGUGCUCGGUUUGGUAUGGAUUUGUAUGCCGGGGUAUUGUCCAGCUGACACUCGUAAGUUCACGUCUUCAAACGGAAGGAAAAGGAUAAUCGCUGGAUUCUUUUUUCUGGGGAUCCAAGAGAUUAUGUAAUCGUGUCCGUUUAUCGUACAUUAUAUGGUUAAAAAAUAUUUUAAAUUUAAAAUUAAAUAUAAAUAGUACUUAACGAAAAUUGAUCGCACAAUGUACAAUGAACGGACACAAUUACAUAUGUUGAUACACAAAACCAGAGGUCUUGGAACAACGUAAAUCCGACCUUGAAUCUGCAAGUAAUGUAAAUAACACAAGAUGUAUUGUGGUUCACCCCAAAGUUUGGGCUACGUUCACACUGAUUAUUGUAUUUCUCUUAGAGGUGAGGGAGAUACCUCUGAAUAUGAGAGGGGAUGUGAGAGGGAUGAUAAGGCUUCAAAAAUGGCAUCCCCUAAUUGUGAGGGUGAGUAGUCCUUUUUAUAGAAUAAGGGCUCAUCACUUAUUACAUAUUUGCCUCUUCCUUUAUUAUAUAAUUACACUUAAGUCUCCCAAGUAUUUAUACGAGAUCUAAAUACGGAUGCCCUAAGUAUGGUACAAACAGUAGUCCCCCAAGUCUUCAGUCAAGAAAGUCUUUUGGCUGGAGACUUAAAAUUCAGUCCAUGUGUGGGCCGAAGUAACUAGAUGGCGUCUAGUACUGAUACUCGACAUGAGGCGGUGCCCAAUUUGAAAUGAUGCUCAACUAGAAGUAGCACAUGUUGCGAGGCUGCUCGGCUUGUGGCUUAUGUUGCCUUGGUUGGCUCGGCUUGUGGCGUUGAAGGUGAGGGAGUCCCUUUUAUAGAAUAAGGGCUUGCUCCUCAAUACAUAAAUGAUGGGCUAGAGUUGAUGCUCGCGGCGAAGCGGUUACUCAGUAGGCGGCGAUGCUCUCUAAUGAUGGUGAGGGAGUCACUUUUAUAGAAUAAGGGAUCGCUCCUCAAUGCAUGAAUAAUGGGCUAGAGUUGAUGCUCUCUAAUGGUGGUGAGGGAGUCCCUUUUAUAGAAUAAGGGCUCGCUCCUCAAUACAUGAAUAAUGGGCUAAGUCCCCUAAGUAUUUUUCAUGAGGCCCCAUUGAGGCUCAAUAUAUGGUACAUAAUGUAGUCCCCCAAGUCUUCGGCCAAUAGAGUCUGUUGGCUGGAGACUUCAAAUUGAAUCCAUGUAUGGGCCGAAGUGGCGGUUGUUCGAAGGUGGUAUUUGUAUACCCUGUACCGAAGCUUUGUAGGUGAAGCUUUGCAAGUGAAGCUUUAUAGGUGAAGCUUUGCAAGUGAAGCUUUGAAGCUGGAGCUCUGUAAAUGAAGCUGGAGCUCUGUAAAUAAAGCUUUUGAAGCCAGAGCUUUUGUAAAUGAAGCUUUUGAAGCUAGAGCUUUUGUAAAUGAAGCUUUUGAAGCUGGAGCUCUGUAAAUGAAGCUUUUGAAGCUAGAGCUUUUGUAAAUGAAGCUUUUGAAGCUGAGCUUUUGUAAAUGAAACUUUUGAAGCUGAUUGACCUGAGUGAUAUUCAUUAAUGUGUAUGUUGAUUGAUAUGAGUGAUGCUCAUGGAUGUUGGCAUGAGUGAUGCUCAUGGAUGUUUACAUGAGUGAUGCUCAUGAAUGUUGGCAUGAGUGAUGCUCAUGAAUGUUUAUGUAUGAUUGAUAUGAGUAAUGCUCAUGAAUGUUUAUGUAUGAUUGACAUGAGUAAUGCUCAUGUAUAAUUUUGGAAGUACUAGACAUACUUUUGAUCACCUGGUUGGUGGUAAUAGCAGCAGGUUGCCGAAUAAUUUUGGAGUACUAGGCGUACUUUUGAUCACCUGGUUGGUGGUAAUAGCGGUAGGUUGUCGAAUAAUUGUGGAGUACUGGGCAUACUUUUGAUCACCUGGUUGGUGGUAAUAGCGGCAUGUUGUUGAAUAAUUGUGGAGUACUGGGCGUACUUUUGAUAGUCUGGUUGGAGCUAUUUUGGGCUUAUAGACCUUCACCCUUUUCACAACAUUCCAGCCCAUUUAUUUUGGGCUUUGCCAUUUUUUUUUUUACCCUCUGAUGGAGUUUAUACAGAUGUCUCCGAAAGAUAAGAAAAAUAAAUAAAUCAUACAUCUGUCAAAAAAGUAAAUCACAUCAUUCUUGUGGGGUGUUUAUUCCUUGCUUUUGCUUUUCUCUUUUCCAUCGCACUUUUCUUUUGCUUUUAUGUUUUCUCUGCAACUUUGAAGUUUGCCUCGCUUGAAAUGACGAAUAGGACUAAUUGGUGACAGCUUACACCUUCCUCUUUUGCUUCUGUUGUUCUCUUUUCCACCGCACCUCUCUCUUUUACUGCAUUUAUUAGUCUGUUGCUGAGGUCCAGAUGCAUUAGCCUUUGCUUUACUUUGCAGAUGGCAGACAAAAGUAAAGUAAAGUUCUUUUUACUUUGCUUUACUUUGCAGAUUGCAGAUGGCGGGGACAUGGACUUGUCUUUCUUCUCUUUUCCUAUUUACACACAGUCACAGUUAACACCCCACUCUCCAUCGCUGCCUUCACUUGAUCAAUCUUCGCGUUAUCCGGCAGCCUGAACCUUCUUAUGAAAGUGAUGAGAUAUAGAAGCAUGACCACCUCUCCGUAAGAAACUCUGAGGUGGGCAAGAGCAGAAGCGAGUCUGGUGCAUCGUUCAAGUGUCUGUCUCCAAGUGUAGACGAUGUUUCCAUACACAACAAAUGGCUUGUCUUUGUAGAUUAUGGCGGAGCGCUCCUAGAAGAUGAUCGGAGAAAAAGGGAUGUAGUUGGCAGAUCACCUGAUCGAACCCUCCAUCAAUUUUACCAGCCAGGCAGCCCUCCCUCUUGGAAAUAAUAGAUAGAAAGCCUAACAAGUGAUUAACUUCCUUGGGUUUGUGUUGCCGUCGGAUUAAAGAGAAAGAGGGUCUUCCCUUUGACUUUGGGAUUGCUCCAAGCACAGACAAAUGAUUGAGCAUGCACAAAGAAAUUGCUAGGUUUUCUGACCCUACAAUUCUCCAAACCCUUGUGAUUUGAGAGAGUCAUGGGGUUUCCCAAGAAAUCAACACUCAAUGAAGGAAAAGCUCUUGAAUUUUCAUCUUUAAAUUGUGAGGUGCUGAAGGAGAGAGAAACCCUGAAUUCCCAUUUGGGGGAUUUGGAGCCAACUGCAAUUUCAUCCAACCCAGAAGAAAUGCAGAAAACACUCUGUGAUGCAAUUACCUUGGCCAUGUCGAAUCAAACGCCCUUUUUCUGAGAUUUCACAACGAAAACAAGAAAACUCACCAAAUCUCACUUGAUCUUCUGCUUAUUCCGACUCCAAAAGUCCAUUCAGACCAUCGAAACCUCUUUGAUCUGAGUCGGAAGCGACCUCCUCUUCCACUUCUUCUGCUUCCGCUUCAUCGUCGCUGCUGAUAUUCAAGCAAUUAUUACGCCCGACGUCGUCGUUUUGCUAGAGAGACGAGAUUCCUCCGUCGACCUGAUUGACAGUGACGCCGUUGGAGUGCAACUGGGAAUGGAUCAGGACCGAUUUGGUCUUCGUCGUCUUCGGAGUCGACGGCAGACACUGGCUGGUAGAACUUGGCGGCAGGUGCAUCAUCGUUGUCGUCAAUGUUGGUGUCGGAAUCGCUCCCGUUCUGGUAAUUUAUGACUUGGAUGACGUCAGGUGGAGCUGUGGCGUUCAUCGUCGUCGUUCCAACUUCCAGCGAUUAAGAGAACCAAAAAUAUGAGAAGAGUGAGAACGUUUUGGGGAAAUGGACCGGAAACUCGGUUCUUUGUCAGCACUGGGACUCAAGGCGGCGGCCAAGAAACCACCCUGUAAGUUUUUGCCUCAUUUCUCAAUUCUAAACUUCUUUUAUGAAAUUAAAAAAAGCUAAGAAGUUGAAUUGGGAGUUGAAUUAUUUGGUUGGUUAUCUGCAGAUCCACGGCGGAGGUGAAAAAAUGAAAAAGAACCAAUAUAACUUUUCGUAUCGAUUCCCACAGACGGCGCCAAAUGUUGAUGCACAAAACCGUAGGUCUUGGAACAACGUAAAUCCGACCGUGAAUCUGCAAGUAAUGUAAAUAACACAAGAUGUAUCGUGGUUCACCCCAAUGUUUAAGGUACGUCCACACUGAUUAUUGUAUUUCUCUAAGAGGUGAGGGAGAGAUACCUCUGAAUAUGAGAGGGGAUGUAAGAGGGGUGAAAAGGCUUCAGAAAUGGCCUCCCCUAAUGGUGAGGGUGAAGAGUCCUUUUAUAGAAUAAAGGCUCUUCACUUAUUACAUAUUUGCCCAUUCUUUUAUUACAUAAUUACACUUAAGUCUCCCAAGUAUUUAUAUGAGAUCUAAAUAUGGAGGCCCUAAGUAUGGUACAAACAGUAAUCCCCCAAGUUCCAGAGUGAGGGAAGCUCAUCGGUUGGGGACUUGCAAGAUCAAAGUCAUUGAGUAAUCACGAAACUUCUAAGUAUCGAAGUGUGGUAUCAUUUUCACUUGCCUUAUUUGUCUCAUAUGUAGAUGUGGCAUCUUCUCUGGAAGUACUUUUCCUCCAUCAAUGGAUGGUAUCUUUAACCGAUAAAGAUGCACAAAGUAAUGUAUCAAUUUCACUUGAAGCUUACUUGUAGUUUCGGGCUUGGUCAAGUGCGAUACAAACACUGUAAUAGGAGUCCCCCAAGUCACCGAAUGAGGUAACAGACAAGGUAAGCAAUUAGACUUCCAAGCAAGCAACCUGGAUCGGAGGUUCGACUUCGACUUCCGGUUAAUUGUUUUCCUUCUCCUUGUGUCGUAAACCGCAACAAGGAUAAGGAAAAGCAAAUGGAGAAGAGAUGAUAUGAGAUACUUUUGCUUUUGAAGAAGUAACUUUCCACGGGCUUAUUCUUGAACUGGGUUGGAGGGUUUUCUGGUUUCCUCCAGAGUAUAAGGCCGACUCAAGAAUUUGAGGGUCAAAACAAGUCCAUCAAAUCUAGAGUACGUUCAACCCUGAUGAUAUGGGAUACUUUUGUUGUUGACAAAGUAGUAGAUGUAUCGACACAUGUUCUGUUACGCUUGUCUCCACAUGCUUUCUUGUAUCCUUCUCACUUGCCCUAUAUGUUCCUUAGGCAGAUGUGGUAUCUUCUCUGGAAGCAUAAGAUGUUGAAGAUGAGUAAUCGAGAGCAAUGUCAGGUAAGUAAUCAGGCAAGGGGUUCCAUGCAGUUAGUUCCUGAUUGGAAGCUUGAUUCCAAGUGCUGACUGAUUGCUCUCUUUCUCCUUAUCUUGCAGGUAAGAACAAGGGAAAAUGAAAAGACAGGGAAAAAGCAUGAUAUGGGAUACUCUUGCUUUUAACCCUGAUGAUAUGAGAUACUCUUGCUCUAGUGUGGCUUGUUUGCAGAGGUAUUAUCGGGAGGAAAAGAAACUGAGUAUUUCGAGAGACUCUGCUGAUAGUGCAUUUUCAGAUGUGAAGAAAAGUUGAGCAUUUUUUUUUAUUUGCAGGUCUGCCUGCCUGUGGAGGAUGGAGGUCGACAUAUAUAGAAGUCUCCCUAACAGCAAGUAAUAGUGUUAUGGAGCUCCAAAUGAUCAACCUUCGGUGCCUCCUCCUUCUGGAGUUUUGCCUAGUACUGAGGCUCCGAAUAAUUACCAUAUGGUGCCUCAUCUUUCUGGGGCUUUGCCGACUGCUGAGACUUCUUCUGAGCAACCUUUGUGAGGGCUCCCUCUUGUUUGUUUAUUUUGAUUCAUGUAUAUGUACAUAUUUGUAACUUAUCAGAGAUAUCAAUAAACAAGUUUUGCUUCAUUUCAACGUAUUGUGUUAAAUACACCAAGGCCUUCUUCACUAAGUUCUUUGAAUUUUUCCUUUUGUUAAAGCUUGUAUGUUGAAGCUUUGUGAGUGAAGCAUGUAGGUUGAGGUAGUGCUCCCUUAAUUUCCCGAGUAAGGAAAACUUCUCGUUUGGAGACUUGAAAAAUCCAAGUAACUGAGUGGUCGUGAGACUUCCGAGUAUCAAGGUGCAUAAUCAUAUGGUAGGAUCCUUUUCCCCGAAUCCUCAAGAAAAGGAUCCGGCGAGGAUCCUUUUCCCAAACGGAAUUUGCACACGUACCAUUUUAUAAAGAACAAUCCUUAAGCUUAUUCAUUUAGGAGAGUGUCUUCAAUUGGAAAUUUAAGAUAUUUUAAUAGAUAUAUAAAUCUAUGGCUUUUUAUGGAUAAAUUGAUUUGUAGAGAUUUCAGGAGUGUAUUCAAUUGGGAUUUUGAGGGAUUUUAAUUCUUUUAAUGAAUCUAGGGGUAUUCAAUUAGGAUUUUAAGUGAUUCUCUGAAAUUCAACGUGUAUUCAAUCAAAAUUUUAAGAUAGUUUAUUAAAAUUCUUAGAAAUCCGGGUGUAUUCAAUUAAAAUUUUAAAUAAGUUUAUACAUUCCAAGUGUAUUCAAUUAGAAUUUGAAUUUAAAGAAUUUGGAAAAGUUGAGGAAUUAAAGAGAAUUAGAGAGAUUUUGUAAUGUAUUUUAAGCAUCCACAAAUCUCACAUCUUCCCAUAAGAUUUCGAGGAAAUCGAAUCAAAAUUUUACAUGUAAUCUCUACAAAUCAAUUAAACUCCAUAAAAAUCUAAAAUCGCUCAAAUUCCCAAUAUAAUACACCCCAUUCAUGUAAAAUUUUGAUUCAAUUAUCUUGAAAUCUCAUUGGAAAAAUGAAGAUUUGUAGAUGUUAUACACUACAAAAUCUUUCAAAUUUCCUUUAAUUCCUCAACUUUUUGAAAUUCUUUAAAAUCAAAUUCUAAUUGAAUACACCUGAAAUGUUAUAAACUUCUUUAAAAUCUUAAAUACACCCAAAUUUCUAAGAAUUUUAAUAAACUAUCUUAAAAUCAUGAUUGAAUACACAUUGAAUUUUAGAGAAUCACUUAAAAUCCUGAUUGAAUACCCCUAUAUUCAUUAAAGAAUUAAAAUCAUUCAAAAUCCUAAUUGAAUACACCCCUCUAAGUUAAAUGGCAUAUGUUACCACUCAUUGUUACCGUUGGGCUCAAUUUUGGUUCUUAUUUUUUGCAUUGGUAAUCAAAUAGUUCACGAGAUAUUUAAGAUGAUAUUUCUUGGUGUAUGUUUUUCGCAAAUAAUAUAAUGCUGAUAAAUGAAAUGCAUGAGUGAGUAAAUACAAAGUUUAACCGUUAGCGAUAAGUGUUGUAAUCUAAGGGUCUUCGCCUAAGUAGGUCAAAGCCAUAAUAUAUUUAGUGCAAGUUUAGUGAGAAUGAGGAUCCAAAUGAGAGAUGGGUGAUGAUUGGAGAUCUGGAAGUACCAAAUGGUGAACGCUUUCACUAUAGUAGAUCAAUUUUGUAAAAGAACUUAGAUUUGAAUGAAGAUCUCAACAAUAAAAUACAUGCUAAGUAAAUAUAGUGAAAUAAAGUAUUUAAUGUAUUGUGCGACCGUCCUAUGUGCCUCAAGGGAGGAAUAUGGUGCUCCUUUUGCAACAGGAUUCUUUUCACUAGUUUUUUUAAUAGUGAUAUAUAUGUUUGUUUAUACCAUAUUUAGGGUCUCAUAUUUAGACCUCAUAUAAAUACUCGAGGGACUUAAAUGUAAUUAUGUCAUAAAGGAAUGGGCAAAUAUGUAAUAAGUGAGAAGUCAUUAUUCUAUAAAAGGACCCCUUACCCUCACAAUUAGAUGAGGCCAAUUCCUAAGGUUCCUCACCUUCUCAACGCUCUCACUCUCAGAGCUCUCUCUAGCCCUCACUUCUUAGAGAAAUACAAUACAAUCAGUGUGGACGUAGCAUAAACCUUGGGUUGAACCACGAUACAUCUUGUGUUAUUUACAUUACUUGCAGAUUCACGGUCGGAUUUACGUUGUUCCAAGACCUCCGGUUUUGUGCAUCAACAUUUGGCGCCGUCUGUGGGAAUCGAUACAAAAAGUUGUGUUGGUUCUCUUUCAUUUUUUUCACCUCCAUUGUGAAUCUGCAAAAAUCACAAAAAACCAAGAACACCACAGUGUGUCUCUCUCUAAAAAUCCUGAGAUACCCAGAAAAGCCCAUAUCUCUGUUUAAAAAAAAAAUACAACAGAAACAAAAAGCAAUAUCCAAACUGCAAUUACCGAAUCCAAAGCAACAUCCGACACCUAUGCUUUUCCCUCCCUCUCUGUCCUUGUAAUUUGUCGACACCAAGGAAACCCAGCUCCCUCUCUUUCUCUCUAAAACCAUAGAGAUGUUCAAGUAGUCAUGCUGAAGAUGUUGUUUCUAUCUCUCAUUUUUCUUACAAACUAAUAUAAAAUAAAAAAAUAUCGAUGGAUUUUAAAACUCAAGCUAGCGAAAUGAGGACUAUCUCUCUCUCUUUCUCCUCAAGUCCUUGUCUUUUUCAACCUCUCUAAAAAUCCAUGGAUAAUCUGAGGUACCCGCCGCCGCCGACUUUGAUGGUCCCCAGUCGUCACAUAAGCGGGAAUCUGCACACACAGAGAGCUGCUCGGAGCAGGUGGUGUAGCUGGAGUUGGCGUGCAAGGUGAGGAGCGAGCCCAAGUAGAAGGAGUAAGAGAGAGA